UUUCCAACUUUCUUACGAUUAAACUUGACCUUACCAAUUACCCUGUCUGGAAAGCUCCCUUACUUCGUAGCAGGAAUCUCGUCUCUUUUGUUGAUGGCACUAGCAAAUGUCCUCCUGCCUUUCUCAGAUACUGAUACUGUGAAUCCGGAGUUUGAAGAAUGGAUUCAACAAGAUGCUAUGGUUAUGGAUUCCACCAUACAAGCGGCACUCAAAGAAAUCGAAGAGGUCAUUGCUGACUCUAGAGCUGCUUGCUCCACAAUUCAAGAAAAACUUAAAUGUCAAUCCAUGUAAUAAGUCUAAUGUGGAUGGGACUGGAAGAAUAGUGUAUGCAGACCAUUCUGCAAAUAGAUGGUGCGCCGUCGCUUUGGAUGACGAGAACCAGUUUUCCCCUAUAACUCCUUAUAGUAUUUCUCCUAUCAUUAUUUUAGUUUAUUCAUGUUGAUUUAAGCCCACCAAUCUGCCACAUUUUUUGGUAAUUUCAUUUUUACUCUUAAUAAAAUAAUUAUAACCACGUUAAAACUUAAAUGAAAAUUUUGGACUGCUAUUAACAAUUCUUUCUAAUUACCGAAAAACUAAUUAACAAUUUUUAUAAGGAAUAAGAUUUUUAGAAAAAAUAUCAAAUGAAAUUUUUAAAGUGCUAUUAACAAUUCUCAAAUUUAAAAGGAUAAAAAAAUUGAUGGCUAUUAUUUUUGGAGAACUCACAAGGCAAUGUGAAGAGUAAAAGCCAUAUAUUAAAGGCAAUGUUAGAGAGAUUAAAUUUGUAGAUAAAAUUUACAAACUAAUUAAAUGAUGUGCCACCAAUAGAAAUGAAUACAUUUAUCAACGUUUAAGUAAUAAUCUAAUAAUCAACUUACAUGUCACUUAUAUCGCGAAGGAAAUCUUGUUGCGGACAAUUUUGCUAACAUGAGCUUGUCUUCUCCAUCUUUAACAUGGCUUGAUUCUCCUCCUAUGGCGGUUCAUGCUGCUCUGUUUUUCUGACUAUGUUAGCUUGUCUGGUUACCGCUUCUCAAAUUAAUAUGCAUGUCGGCAUCUAGGUUUGUCUCACUUUCUUUUUUUCUCUCCUAACUUUAUGGUGUUGUUUGACUUGUUUUGCAGGUUUAGACCUUCAUGUUUGGUUCUAGAGGGGUUAGGUUUCAUGUCCCCCCCCUCUUUUCUUUGUAUCAUUCUUGUUUUUUGUUUCUAGAAGGGUAAGGUUUAUGUCCCCCCUUCUUUCUAGUGUAUUCCUUUUUGUUGUCUCUGUUUUUUGAGGGGUAAAGUUUAUGUCCCCCUUGACUAAGUGUAACUUGUUUUUUCGUUAUCAAUAAAAUUACCCUCGUACCGUCGAGGUUUUCCAAAAAAAAAAAAAAAAAAAAAAAACUUACAUGUCACUUAGUUUACACAAUUUAGUUUACAAAUUUAGUCUUUUUAACGUUACUCAUUUGUUAAAAUCUUUUAAGACUCAUGUCCAAGCGUGUAUGUGUGCAAAUCUCUAGUGAUACUCCUUCUUUAUGUCGAUGACAUAAUCCUAACUGGUGCUAAUGUUGAUGAUGUGCAAUCUAUGAUUAACGAGUUGACUGCAGAAUUUGAUAUGAAGGAUUUGGGGUUGUUACAUUUCUUCUUGGGGUUAUAGAUUGAGUAUCAAUCUCAAGGUGUGUGUGUUCAUUAAAGUAUGUCAAAUAUCUGCUUCAGAAAGCAAAUAUGGUUGACUGCAAACCUUGUCUCACUCCUUGUCAUCCUAACCAGAAAUUGCUCAAUCAUGGCAGUCCUCAUAUGGCUGAUCCUGGAUUUUAUUGAAGUCUUGUAGGUGCAUCGCAAUAUCUCACCUUAACUAGGCCUGAUAUUGCUUUCUCUGUAAACCAGGUGUGCCAAUAUAUGCAUACACCUCUUGAAGCUCAUUUUGCUGUUGUCAAAUGCAUUCUAAGCUAUCUUCAAGGUUAUGUCAGUUUGAGAUUGUGUUUUAAACCUGGCCCUUUAUAGUUAAAAGCAUAUACAUAUGCUUAUUGGGCUGGGGAUCCCAAUGAUCGACGAUCAACAACUGGCUUUGUUGUUUUUCUGGGAUCAUAUCCCAUUUCUUGGAGCUCUAAGAAGCAACACACUGUUAGCCAGUCUUCCACAGAGGCCGAGUAUAGAGCUAUGGCUACUACUACGGUUGAAGUGGUUUGGAUUCAACAAUUGCUUAAGGAUUUACAUCUUCUUGGUUCUGACACUCCAUUUCUCCACUGUGACAACAUUUCGGCUAUGGCACUUGCAACUAAUCCAGCAUUUCACUCAAAAUCAAAACAUAUUGAGAUAGAUUGGUAUUUCGUAUGUGAAAGAGUACAACAAGGCACCAUUUUGUUGCAGUUUGUCAACUCUUCAUAUCAGUAUGCAGAUAUGUUUACUAAAGGGUUGUGUUCACCUCAAUUUAGAUAUAAUUGUGCCAACCUCAUGCUUGGUUGUUCCAACCAUGAGCUUGUAGGGGGAUGAUAGAAUGUAUACACACUUAUGUGUUGAUGGGAUUAAGACAGGUGUCAUAAGAUUAAGAAUGGAGGUGUCAUGUGGUUGUCAAGAUGUAUUCUAUAAAUACUCAUCAUGUAAUUAUUCCAUUACAAUUAUUGAAAACAGAAAACAGUUAUUACAAUUGUCUCUCUAGAUUCUCUCUCUAAUAUCUCUCUCUUAUCUUUCGAUAGUUGCUUACACAGUAAGCUUUCUCUGGUUUGUUGACACUGGGUAAGCCCCUCUACUUCUUCUUCUUCUACAAAUUGAAUGUCUUAAUAUGUAUGCAAGCAUUUUAUUUUUGCCUCUACAAUUUUCUUUCAGUCACAAGUUCUGGUGUUAGAAUGGCUUACGUCCCACCCCACAAGAGGCAUUUAAAGGAAACCGAGAGGCCAUUGCUGAGGCUGGAGCUGCUUGCUCCCCAGUUCAAGAAAAACUUAAAUGCCAGGCCAUCAAAGUUUAAUGUUGAUACAAGUUCAAAGUCAUUUAUUUAUGCAAACCGUGCUUUAUUGAGAUUGUGCACCAUUGGUUUGGAUGACCAGAACCAGUUUCCGUCUACAGUUAAUCUUGAGCCCAUUUCCUUUCGGAAUCUACCGAGUGGAAUAAUGAAGAAAAACCUCUAGCUUUGAUAAACUCUUGUCUAGAUAAUGGUAAGUAGUAGCGUAACAUAUGCUUUGAUAAACUCUUGUUUAUGUUAUAGUUCUAAGGAAUCUACUUUUCAUCUUUUUUUAAGGUAUCAGAUAUCUAGGCAGCUUUGGAGGUAGUUAGCAUGUUAAUUUAAUACCUUUUUGCCUUUUUAGAUUCCUUGGCUAUUUUUUUGGGAUGUAUACAUACGUAAGCCAUUUUCUCGACAAUUGCACAAUGUCUGGAUAUUUGCAGGUCUUUCUACUAUUUCGGCUAUUUGGAAAGCUCGAAAUAAGUUUACUUUUUAGGGUUGUCCAAUCUACUUUCGUCAUCUUUACAUGUCUAUUAAUUCUUAGAUUGUUCAUGGUGGGAAGUUUAUUCCUGAUUACUUUCAGGGUUUUGACACUCGUAUCAUUUCUUCUUUGAUCCAACCUUUCCCUCGCAAGGCACCAACUAUUCUUCUUGUGCUUUGGUCUUCUCUUUGGUUUCCUUAGAUUAAACUUAAUACCGAUGGUUUAUCUAAAGGAAAUCCUGGUCCUGCUGCUUGUGGAUGAGUUUUCCAGGAUUGCCAUGGUGGUUUCUGCCAAGGGAUUGGUCAUAGAAACUUUUUUUUGGAAAAUCAUCAGCAUUUAUUAUUGGUGUAGAGUUUGCAUAUCAGCGGGGUUGAUAUUGUCUUUGGCUGGAAAGUGACUCUUCUAGUGUUAUUUGUGGUCUUAAUCGAUUGAUUUGGAUCCUCCUUGGCCUCUUCAUAUGCAAUGAUCUAUUUGUUUAGAACGCGUUUGCAAGAUGACUUUCUAUGCCUCUCACAUUUAUCGCAAAGGAAAUGUGGUUGCGGAAAAUUUUGCUAACAUGAGCUUGUCUUCUCCAACUUUGGUAUGGCAUGAUUCCCCUUUGUUGGCAUUUCAGGCUGCUUUGUUUUUAGACUAUGUUGGCUUUCCUGACUUCCGCUUCUUAAAUUAAUGUGCAUCUCGGCAUACAUGUUUGUCUCAUUUUCUGGUUUUUUCUUUCUUUCUUAACCUUGUGAUGUUGCUUGUUCUAUUUUGCAGAUUUAAUGUAACAUCCCACAUCGACCAACGAAGAGGUGGUGAUGUGCCUUAUAUAUACAUGCCCACCUUCUAUAGCACGAGGCAUUUUAGGAGCUCACUGACUUCGGGUUUCGUUGGAACUUCGAAGUUAAGCGAGUUCGGGCGAGAGUGGUCCUAAGAUGGGUGACCCACUGGGAAGUUCUCGUCUAAGUUCCCAGAAACAAAACCGUGAGGGCGUGGCCGGGGUAUAAAACGGAAAAUAUUGUGCUACGGCGGAACCGGAACUUAGAUGUGUCAGAUUGGUAUCAGAGCCACUCUGCCGUAUGGUGCGAGUGUGUUGACGAGGACGUCAGGCCUCUAAGGGGGGUGAAUUGUAACAUCCGACAUCAACCAACGAAGAGGUGGUGAUGUGCCUUAUAUGUAUAUGCCCACCUCUUAUAGUACGAGGCUUUUUGGGAUCUUAGUGGCUUCGGGUUUCGUCGGAAUUCCGAAGUUAAGCGAGUUUGGGCGAGAGCGGUCCUAGGAUGGGUGACCCACUGGAAAGUUCUCGUCUGAGUUCCCAGAAACAAAACCAUGAGGGCGUGGUCGGGGCCCAAAGCGGACAAUAUCGUGAUUUGGCGGAGCCGGGACUGGGAUGUGUCAUUUAAACCUUUAGGUUCACCUUUAGAUGGGUUAGGUUUCAUGUCCCCCCUCUUUUCCUUGUAUCUUUGUUGUUUUUGUUUCUAGAAGAGUAAGGUUUUUGUCCCCCUUCUUUUCCAUGUAUUUUUAAUCCUUUUUUCUUGUAUUAUGAGGGAUUAAGUUUAUGUCCCCUUGACUAGGUGUACCUUUUUUUUCAAUAUCGAUAAACUUUCCUCGUACCAUCGAGAUUUCCUAAAAUAGAAAAAAUAAAAAAACAAAAAAGUCUUGUUUUGCAAAUGUUCCGUUGUCGUAUAAGGAAUACAAUGUAAAGGAAGUUGACCCGAAGAUUGGAAUUGACCUCAAAGGGGAGAAAGAUUUAUACUAUGUAAAGGUAUAUUUCUUUUGCAAUAUUUCACAUCAACUUACUGAAUUCAUACUUUCACAGAUAUUCAAAGUGUAUUUUGGAUAUAUUAAAUCCCUCUCCUUCGUUCCUUGUUCAUAGUUGUCUGACUCUAGACGACCAAAAUGAAUCAUCACUUGCAAAUGCAGUGUGGCAAAAAAACAAGGAAAGCUACAUCUCAAGAAGGCAAGGUUUUAAGUUCAUACAUGUGAAUAUAUGGUUUAUAUACUACAAAAUCACGCACUGUUAUGUGUUAUAUUUUUUUAUUUAGUGAGACUUAUAUCAAAUGGCCAUUUUCUUUUAUAUGGAGCUGAGAUGCAAUGCAUUAGGGAUGUAACUAGUUCAGGGAUUCUGGAUUCAAAUGUGAAGGGAGGGUUGAGAUGCAACGCAUUAGGGAUGUAAAUAGUUCGGCGAUUCUGGAUUCAAAUGUGAAGGGAGGGUUGAGAUGGCCACUAGGGAAGGCGUUUUCAGAAGGCCGGUAUAAUGUCGUUGGAAUUUGGCAUAUAUUUACCACUACUUAUGAAAAUCCAACUCUGAAACUAAAGUUAAGGCAUGCGAAUCACUUCGAUUUUACCGCCUCGGCUCGUGAAACUAGUUGGGAGGUUAGGCUGUUUCUGAAAAUGCUCGUUUCCAAGUUAUAAGUAAGUCUUGUAUUUUUCUCUCAUAAUCAAGCAUCUAUCAUGUAAUGUACCAAGAAAAGAUCUAAUAGGUGUGUUCGUCUGGAGGAAUUUCCGAUGAGGACGUUUCCUGGCCGACGAGCACACAGCUCCCCAAGAGGUUGGCUUUGGUUGAUAUUGUCUAUCGGGCUUCUGCUUAUUGGAGGCUGUAAGAGAAAGACAUAGUUAUUUUGAAAGGUGCCUUUAUGGGGCCUUAGGUGUAGGCCUUGAGGUUCACAAUCAAAAUUAACUUUAGGUGUUCAGGCGUGCCAUUGCCAUCUUUAGCAUGACAGAUGUAAAACAUAUGUUUAGUUUAAUUGUAUAUGCCCGAGAGACUAAGUUAGCUAUGAAAGGUACCUUCGUAGGGCCUUAGGUGUAGGCCUUGAGGCUUGCAUUCAAAACUUAACUAAGUACUCGAACAUAUAGUGGUUGUUUCAUUGUUGCAGAAGUUUUACAACUGUUAUACUUUAAUCACCCGAGCCCGAAGAGCAGAAUGAAGCCAGAUAGGUGCCUUUAUAGGGCCUUAAGUAUAGGCCUUGAGGCUUGCCAUCAGAAUUAAUUUUAUACUCAAGUGUUCUGUGGCAAUCAUAAUAUAACAGAAGUAAAACUAAGAAAUAUGCUGAUUACUUGCGCCUCAAGUAACUUCAGACUUCUUGUUAUCAAGGAUUAUCGUGGAUGGGUUAAGUCCACAUAAAGUUCUUUUUAUGCCUUGAGACCAAUGACUUUUGACUGAUAAAUCUUGUAUCCCCGAAAUGUUAGAACUUAGAUCUGGUCAAGUUAUGAGUGCGGAUUCCAACUUUAUCUUUUGCAUGGUUGGGUACCAUUAAACAGACCAGAUCCAAGAACCAAGAAGCCUUUUAAUCAUAAACUUGCUAGAAAUAACUUGGAUACAGAUGGAAGUAUACAUCAUAUUACUAGAUUUAUGAAUGAAAAGACAGAACAAAGAGGGUCGGGCAAGGUUUCACCAUGUCGGGCAAGGUUGAUCGUCUUGCAACUUCCUCUCUUUGUGAUUUACAAAGGGUUUGAGUGCUAGAAGGAGAGAUUGGAAGAUGAGUUUACAGGAGGGAAUCGAUACUACAUCAAGAUUCAGACAAGGUAACAGAGCUUUUACAAAGGCUUUUGGUGAAGGUUGAUCCUGAAAAGGAUGAAGGUUUAGUGCUGACUACAGCUUCGUAUGCAAAUCUGGCUUGAGUAGAGUUUGUGUAUUUGUUUGUUUGAUUGAGUGUCCUUAUAUCUGAUUUCUCUUUCCUUUUUUAUAGAUGAUUUGGCUUGGCUGUCUGCAGCAUCGAUGUUGCCCGAAUGCGGCUGAAGGGUAAUGACUCAUCAGCUUUUUACUUGUACUGUCAUUGUAAAUUACUUUUGAGUUGAUUGGUUGGCUAGUCUACACCACUUGACUUUUACGUAGGUGAGUAAGUGGCUCAAGUGAUCUGCACUUAGUCGAGAAAAGGGCUUCUUCUGCCUUUUGGGCUUCGACUGAGCCUUGGGCUUCCUUCCUUCUAUACAUUCUUCUGGACUAACUUCCUUUUGAGCCUAAAAUUCCAGUUUUAACCCAAACAAUGUGUCCAUCAUAACAUACGCCGAUCUUAUUCUUUUGAUUUUUCAGGAAGAGAUGUUGAAGCGGCUUGAUUUUUGAUAUGCUGCAGGAAAAUGUGAAGUUGAUAUGGGACAACUGUUGGAUUUAAGUCAACAAUCUGUGAUAAAUUUAUAUAUGCUAAUAAAUAAUAAAUGCGAAUAGAAAAACUCACAGAGUAUGAACACAACUAAAAUAUAAAAUGGACAACUUGUAGAUCGAGGCUUGCGUACCGCAAUGUCCUUGAAACAGAAAUUUCGCCCCUACUCAGUGCUUGUAGUUCUCCGGACGUUUGUUUCACCAGGAUUCAACGAUCAAGUUAGAAUUCCAGCACCGGAAAACUUAACUUCUGGAGAAUUUCUUUGUGAUACUCUCAGUAAGAAUGUUAUGGAUUAUAGAAGGAGAUUUAUAUUUUUCUAUACUCUAAAUGCCAUGCAGACGGAUGUAUAUAUAGAGGGAUUAAGCCUGUUCGCAACAGGUAUGGAGAAGAAAUGUAUAUGUUGGAAAGCAUCUUCUCAGAAGGGGUGCUUUGCUCUGCGUUCUUUCUGAACUCUCAGACAUCAUCUGAAAGGAUGAACCUUUUCAUAAAAAUUAAGUUAAUUAAAUUCGAAAUUAAUUAAAAAUAAUUAAUUAAAGAAUUUAAUUUUCAGAGCCCAAGGCCCAUCUUUUGUUAAUUAAAUAUAUAUUAAUUAUCAAUUAAUUAGUGCACCUCAAAGCCCAACUUCAAGGGUGAGCCCAAUUUUAUUCUCCAAUGCCUAUUACUCCAAUUACUUUCUAUAAAGUAUAAAGCCUUAUAAAGUGAUGAAAGCUUUUGGGAAUGGCCACUGUGGGACAAAGAAAUUUAUACUCAAAUGACUCAAAUUUCCAAGAACAACUUCUUAUGCUGUGAACCUUUUCUAACAUGAAAUGGAACUGCAAGUGCAUCUCGUAAACUUCUCUAUUGGAACAAUGACUUACUACAUAAUUUGUUGUAAACCCCGGUGUUUUUUGGACUUGGUUCCUUCGUCUUAAGUCAAGUUCAGUUUACUUUUUAGAUUUGAAACUCUUAGUCGAGCUGAUGGCGAGAUUUUUUUUUUGUUGGUUGUGCUUGUGGGAAUGAUUUGCUUUGCUCAAUUAGGAGUUUGUCAUUACACUGGGAUGAUGCUUAUGAAUUUAUGAUAUCAGAAUGUUAAAUGUUAUUUAUGUAUUACGAAGUAAUUGAGGUUUUUCCCUAAAAUAAUUGAUAGUAUGCGGAAGAACUCGAUUCCUUGCUUAUGCAAGGUUGCUUAACCUUUUGAUGGAAGACGACAACUUACAUAAUGUCUUUGAAUAAGAAAGAUGUAACUACUAGAUACCCAGAUUUCUACUCACAUGUGAACUGAAUAAUAAACCACAUGUUUAAUUUAGACAUUUCAGUAAACCAUUAUCUCUUACAUCUGAUGUUGAGUUGAUUUUAUUUGUUAAUUUUGACGGUACGAGAAAAUUUUAUUAAUAUGAAAAAUAAAAGUUAUACUUGAUUAGGGACAAAAACCUUACCUCUUGUAACACAAGAAACAAGGAAGGAACAAAAACUUGACCUCUCCAUGAAUCUUGAAGAAAAUGAAUACAAAGAAAACUCGAGGUACAAAGGACCAAAACUUAAAAACACUGCAAUAAAGCAACAAUCUAAAAACUGAAUCCGAAAGUUUACCCUGAGUUGAAUUAUUCUCUCUAAUAAUAUCUUUUGUAUUAGAACAGAUUUUUUUUUUGGACAAAGAAACAUUCCAUUAAUGUAAGACAAAGAAACAUUCCAUUCAUGUAAGGGAAAAUACAAUUUGUGAGAGAUAGGCCUAAGUCCAAACAAAACACAAAGCCUUACAUAAAACAAAGCAGGACAUUAAAGGUAAAACAAACCCAAACCAAGUAGAGCGCCAACCCAAAACACAAAGGGAGGCCCAUACAUCAUUAGGCAUGUAGGCAGUAAAAGCAGAAAAGCAACAAAAACCCUAAUCUUUAGCAUCCAAAAGACCACCGCUGCCGCAGUAACAGCUUCCACCGCAAUAAAAUCUGUCGCCCCAAAAGAAAAAGAAAACCCGAACCCUAAACUAGAUAUGAGAGGGUUGUGCAGAAUCUAUCCACCAAGAAAUAAAGCCUCCACAUCCACAUCUGCAAGAAAGGUCACAAAACGUAACAGGAGGAGGGGGAGGGCAAAUGGGGUGUGUAAAACACCCUUGUUCCAAAGAGAAUCGUUCCACACUUCGCCCAAAUUUUCUGGCAAGCCGGUUCGGCAGUGGGAUUGGAGGGUUUGGUCUUGUGUAAAAGAAGAGCCCAAAACUCCAAGAUCUAAAUCGUGGUUAAGAGUUGGAAAAGAAGAGUGGGGAGGAGGCUAGGAGGAGGAGAGGAGAGGGUGCCACUAGCCCAAGCCGAAGCAAGGGCUAGCGGCGCCAUGGACGCUAGGGUUUGGAGCUCUUUCAGAGAGAGAGAUUCUAACAUUAUUUUUUAUGUAUUAUAAAAUUAGGAUCGUAACUCAGUUGUCAAGAAUUUUCGAUUCAAAUGAUUAAAGAUGUUUACUUUCCAAAUUUUAAUAUUAUGAAAAUGUGAAUUGGGGUCCACAUGAACGUACAAACGUCAGUGGAACUUAAACAAUAAAGUAAUGGGAAACAAACAAUAUCACUAUCAAAUAGCUUCUUUUUUACUUUAUAAAGGAAUAUUGCUAUUUACAUACUUCUUUUUAUUUCUUACAUUUUUCUCAAUUUUCGAUCAUCAGAUUGAAUGAAUUAAAAAAAAAAUUAAAGGAUUGAAAUUAACAACGAUUGUGUGAGAGGCAAAAAUAAAUGUAUGGGUAACAUUAUACCUCUAGCAAGGUUUGUCAUAGAACAAUAUGUAGAACCCCCACCAAAUUAUUGCAGGAAGUGUAGAUGGAUGGAAAUACUAAACAAGUUUAUGAGAAAUCUGAGUUGCUACAGCAGAGCUCUUGUAUUACUUCUUAUUGUAACUCUCUUAAUACAAAAUGAUAUGCCAAAGGCUAUAUAUAUAGUGAAUACAAAGUACUAGAGAGUUCAAACUAGAGAGUUCUUCCUAGAUAACUUAACAGAUAUAGGCUAGGAACAAUGACUCUAGAAUAAUUGUUCUUGGGAAUGUUUAGAGUCUUAACAUUUAGAGUAGUGCAUGAAUAAUUGUUCUUGGGAAUGUCUAGAAUCUUAACAUUUAGGAUAGUGCACUAAUUCCAACAAUUAUCGCCAGUAAAAGUUAAAAAGAAAACCCCAUCAGCAAGUUAUACUUUAGUCACAAAAAGUUGAAGAAGAAUAAAAGGUGCAAACUUUGGAAUUCCAUGUCUAUAAAACCUCAAAAGGCAAUGCACAGAGUACAGCAGCUCCAAUUUGUUAUCUUGAUCAUUUUUUAGUCUCUCAAGUUUCAAGUUUCUAUCUGCCUCUCUGGGUAGUGAUUUCUAGAUAAGCUUCUCUUUCUCUCUACUUAUAAAAUCCUCCCCAUUAAUUAUUUGAUCUUCUUUAUAUAAUAACAUUGAUUGUUUUAUCUGCUCUGUUCCGUGUUCAUAUCAAUCCAAAGCUAUGUAUUUUGCUUCUGUGUUCAUAUCAAUUCAAAGCUAUGUAUUUUGCUCCAAGAAAGUGAUCAAGAAAAUUACCCACUUGAAGAACCCUACCAUAAUCAGAUUUUUACUUUACUAGGCGAACCCUUUUUGUAAUUUUUGUACUUGUUCAGAGAGAAAUGCGAAGGAGACUCUCGAAAGUGGGACUCUCCAUGAACUCUCUACCGCUUCAUGUUUUUGGCAACUAUGGUAGAGAGUCCUUGGAGAGACAGCACUUUGGGAGAGUCCUUAUCAUUUCUCUUGUUCCGCAUUCGAAUGAAAGGUUUCAACUUUCAUCAUUUUCCCCAGCAACCAAACAAACCAAUAAGAAUUAACACAUCAACAGGCUGGACUUUCUUCAAUAAACAUGAGAAAGAACACUUGUUCUUGCAUAAACAAGAGUACUCUGUUUUAAAUCCUCUUUUCUUUUUUAUUUUCGGUUGCCCUCACUUUGAUCCUUUGGUUUUAUAGGCAUAAGUGCUAGUUCUACAAUGGCUUACGUUCCACCACACAGGCGGCACUCGAAGGAACUGGAGAGGCCAUUGGUCACUCCAGAGCUGCUUGCUCCUCAAUUCAAGAAAAACUUAAAAGUCAAGCCAUUUAAUAAAGUGGAUGAAAAUAUAGUUUAUGCAGACCAUUCUACACAUGGAUGGUGCGCCAUCCCUUUGGAUGACGAGAACCAGUUCCCAUCUUCUGUUAAUCUUGAGCCCGUUACCUUGGAGUCUGUUGAGCUGAAUUUUGGAGAAAAUCAUCUAGCUUUGAUCAAUACUAGUCUAGAUAAUGGUUAGAUCUUUAAUAAUUCUUUUUGUGCAUGUAUCUUGUAAGUUGUUACUUGGGUUAUGGAUUUGUUUGGCUGAUACUUGAUAGAAGGCAGUGAGGUGAAAUGGAACUUGCCAAGGAGCCCUUGGGAAUCUAUAACAGAAAAUGUGCUGGAAGACUUACUUUCGGCAUUUAAACACGCGAGGAAUGAAAUGAAGUCUGCAAAGCCAAAAGAAGCAUAUCCAACUUUGAUUGCCAGAGUGGGGAAAGUACUCUUUCGCAGGUUAGAUUUCCUCCUCAUCUAAUUCAUUGGUUAGCUUUCGAGCCUUUUGUGCCAUUCAUUAACUUGAUUAUGUCAUGCGAUUAUUCAUUAAUUUGUUCUUUUAGUUGCCUCAGGAUACUGGUUAAAGUAGAACAAAAAAUAGUUAUACUAUGAUAGAAGGUCAUAUUUUGGCAUUUUAGCUUGGAAGAUACUGUGCCAAGUUUGGUGGUGAAGUAGGAUUAUAAAAUUCUGCCUUGUUUUUCGAUACUUGAUACAGAUAUUUCGGUAUUGAUGCUUAAUCACUGUCAAUCAUCUCAAUUUCACAUUAGUUUUGUAACAACGGAAAAGAAUCUUGUCCUUCUUCUUAGUUGUACUUGUACAUGAGCAGAUGAAAGACAAUCCUUUGUUGAAAUCUUUGUAUCAGUUAACAUGGAAUCUAUCAGAAAAAAAUCUGUUUAAUGAAACCUUGAAACAAUGGAGGAAAUCGUUUUACACAAACAUCCUUGUUUCAUAUAAGGAAAAGAUUUUAAAGCAAGUUGUCUCAAAAGUUGUAGUUAAUUUCGAAGAGGAGAAAGAUAUAUACCAAGUAAAGCUAUUGAGCCUAUUGUUCUUUUAGUUGAUCGUUUCAUGCGAUUAUCCUUUUUACCUUUAUAUUGUUCUUUUAUCCGCCUCAUAAUACUGGUUGAAGUAGAACAAAAUAAUAGUAUAAUACUAUGGUAAAAGGUUAAUUUGGCAUUUUAGUUUAGAAGGUAGGAUGCCAAGUUGAACAGUGAAGGACUCUAAAACUCUGCCCUUGUUUUUCGAUACUUGAUAAUCAUAUUUCAUAUAAUUUGUACACGAACGGAUGUAUACCAAUUUUUGUUGAAAUCUUUGAAUCAGGAACCCUUCAGUUAACUUGGAAUCCAUUAGAAAAAAUUUGUUCACUGAAAUCCCGAAACGACGGAGGCAAUUAUUUUACACGAACACUCCUGUUUCGUAUAAGGAAAAGAUUGUGAACAAAGUUGUCCCGAAAAUUGGAGUUGUUUUCGAAGAGGAGGAAGAUAUAUACGAUGUACAGGUAUUUCUUUUAGACACGUCAACUUACUGAGUUCUGAGUUCAUGUUUUCCAGAAUUCUGACUGUAGCUAUUGAAUUGCUCAUUUAUUUUCUUCUUGUAUAGUUGUCUGAUUCUACGAGUCCAGAGUCCACUCUCUUCUGCAGAUGUCGGGUAAUGAAAGAACAUGGAAGGCUACAACUCUGUGAGGCAAGUUUUCCAAUUCAUGCCAACUAAAUUUGAUGAAACCAUAUAUGUUGCAUCAAUAUCACAAUUGAGUUGCCACAUUAUUGAUUAGAUAACUUAGAUAUAAUAUUAUGCAGCAAAAAUAUGGGUAUUGUAUAAUAAAACUCAAUGUUCAAGCACUGAAUGUGAUUAAGUUCUCCAAUUUUUGGAAUAAUUUGUGAGGAGCCUUUCCAGAUCUUUAAUAUUUUCCGGACUCUUCCCUCUCUUAAUUUUUCCUGUUGAUUGGCUUAGGGUUUGUAUCCUGAGAUUUACAUCGAAAUGUCAACUUUCUUUCAGAUCAAAUUGAAACCAGUGCGUAACAUGGUAAAGGACAUUUCAUGCACUACUAAGAAUCUGGACCUGAGACUAAUGCUGUGCACAAAGAAACUCGUAACUGAUCUGACUGUAAGCUGCUUCACCCAGUCCUUUAAAAUUUACAUUUCUAUUCCUUGUUUCAGCAAAUAUAUUAAUUUUGACCUUUAUAUAUCUUCAAGCCACAAUCAAACAAAUAAUAUAACGUUUCUAGAAAUGUAACGGGAUGAUGUGGGUUAACCAUACUGGAUCCCUGGCUGAACUUAUGCUUCUUUGAAUGAAGUUUCGUGAUCAUAUUAAUUGUUGCUAUUUCAGAAUGAUGAGAUGCAAAGCAUCACGGAUCUGAUUAAUUCUGCGAUUCUAGAUCCAGAUGUGAAGGGUGGAUUGAGGUGGCCCCCGGGGAAGGAGUCUUCAGGAGAAAAAUACACAGUUGUUAGGUUUACGCACGUAAUAGUUAAUACGUAUAGAAAUUCAUCACUGAGACUGAAAGUAAAACACUAUGAUCGAUUUGAUUUGAGAACCUUAACUGGGGAAGCUUCUUGGGGGACAAGUCUGGUGCUGGAAAACGUCGUGUCAAAGUUACAGGUAAAGGCUGCCUUUUCUCUCGGACAAUUUUUUAGUUCAUGUGCUGAAAUAAAAAUUUGUUUGAGAAACUUUGUCGUGCGCUGAAAUCUCGUGAUGUUUCAAUUGACAGGAAGAGAAUGUCAAGGCCAGCACAAUUUCUGAGAUACUCAAGGAAGAUAUGCAGUUGAUAUGGGAAAACUUCUUGAGCUGUGAACCUUUUCUAUCAAGAAAUUGCAUGUUGUAAAUCAGUGAUCACUGUCUGUGCGACGUGUGUAUAUCUGUCUACAUCCUUAGUUUUAUAUUCUACUCUCGGCGUCGUGUGAUUAAUAAUUAGUAACUGUUUUAGCAUUUCUUGCAAUUUUGUUUGUAUCUGGCAUCGUUGAUGGUUAAUUAAAUUUUUAAGAUUUUACAUUUCGAUGACUUCAUUGCCAGUAAAUGCUUCGGCUCACGUGCUUUCUUACAACCAAGAUGGUUAAUGAAAAUUUUUAAGUUUCUUUUUGCCUUCCGUCCCACACCACAAGAGGCAGUUAAAGGAAAAGGAAUUUUGAUACAUGAUUAUGCAAACACAUUGGUAAUAGGUGGAGUAUAUAUACUCUCGAGGUUCUGUAGUAACUUCUACUAAUCUAAUGCAAGGUCUUUUAACUUUCUGAACAUCACAUGUUAAAUAUCCAAAUGUCUAUACAUUAAUUGUCCUUUGGGUUUUUGACAUUUUGAUGGAGAAGAUGAAGGAUUUUUUCUUCGUAUUGAUUUGUUGUCAGAGAAGAAGGGUUUUCUUUAAUAAUGAAUACCCAUUUUUUAAUUGGCUUUUCAUUCACGUGGCACAAAUUUUGUGGGGCUGCCACGUUCACACAGGCAGAUAAUGGGGAAACUAAUAUAAAUUGAUACAUAUAUAUAUAUAUAUAUAUAUAUAUAUAUAUGACAUUUGUACGAAAUCAUGAGUCGCCUUAUAAAAUUGAAAAAAUUGAAAAAUGUACGAAUUUGAAAUUGGACGAAGGAGACAACAUAUAAAAUGAGUUAGAUAAUAAAUGAGUGAGAUCAUUUGCAUCCCAAAUUUCUGGCCCAAUGAACUCCAAAAAUGGCUUUUGAGUUGUAAAGUGAGCAUUUCAAGAUAAUUUUCAACUCUCAUUGGAGAUGCUUUAAGAUUAAAUAGAAAUAGAAUCUCAAUUGCACAAAGCUAAUUUUAGUCUUUAUUAAAGCCCUCCAGUAAGGGUCAUUUAGUACUACAGUUUGAUGAUAUUUCUCUUCACUAGUAAGUGUAAGUGAAAGGUAUUAGGCUCGAUUCAUACAAAAGGCGAAUUUGAAUCACAUUAUUAUACCAAAGGCGAAUUAGCCUACUCCGUCACCCUUAAGUGUAGAUAAUAUUGUUUGAACCAUAUUAUUAUAGCAAGCUCAUUAAUUGUGAGGCUUAAUUUUCCAAUUGAAAAGUUUAGGGGGAAAUCAAAAGUUUAGUAAAAGUUCAGGAGGAAAAUCGGCAAUUUACUCUCUUGAAUAUAUUAAAUCUCUCUCCUUUGUUCCUUGUCCUUGUAUAGUUGUCUGACUCUAGACGACCAAAAUCAAUCAUCACUUGCAAAUGCAGUGUAGCAAAAGAACAUGGAAAGCUACAAAUCUACAAGGCAAGUUUUUAAGUUCAUACCAUGUGAAUAUGUAGUUUAUUUAUUGCAAAAUCACGCACUGUUGUGUGUGUUCUUUUUUUUUUUUUUUUGUUUAGUGAGACUUACAUCAAAUGGACAUUUUCUUUUAGAUGGAGCUGGAUCAACUGCGUAACAUGGUCACGAACAUAUGAUGACUUAAUAAGAAUUUGGACCUCAGACUCAUGCUAUGCACGAACAAGAUCGUAACAGCUUUCGCUAUAAGUUACUACACCUGGAAAGCUAUUGAGAAUUUUUAUUUUAUUCUCCGUUGAUUAAAAUUUUUGGUGUGUCCAGGAUGAUGAGAUUCAAAGCAUUAGGGAUGUAAUUAGUUUAGCGAUUCUGGAUUCAAAUGUGAAGGGAGGGUUGAUAUGGCCCCUAGGGAAGGCGUUUUCUGGAGGCCGGUAUAAUGUAGUUGUAAUUUGGCAUACAAUUACCACUAAUGAAAAUCCAUCUCUAAAACUGAAGUUAAGGCAUGCGAAUAGUUUCGAUUUUACCACCUCAGCUGGUGAGACUGGUUGGGAGGUCAGGCUGUUUCUGAAAAUGCUCAUUUCAAAGUUACAGGUAAGUCUGGUAGUUUUCGCUCCCAAUCAAACAUCUUUAUGUAAUGUACCAAGAAAGAUCUAUUAUGUGUUAAUGGUAACAUAACGUCGAUCUUAUUCUUUCAAAUUUUCAGGAAGAGAAUGUUGAAGUCGGCUUGAUUUCUGACACACCCUGACCUUGAUGUCCGGGGGACAACAGGAUGACCACGUGUUGGCCGACACCUAAGGGUGACGCAAGUCAUUUAAUGAAUGCAUACGCUGAGAAUAUGUGAAUCAUGCAUAUACAUUUCGCGCGUAACUAUGCAAAGAAAUAUUUGAAUACAAUCUUACCAAAAUAAUAUUCAUUCGUCUAUAAAAUGAUAGUGAUAAUGCAUGACAUGUUCAGAGAAUACAUCUAAUUCAGAAUACAAGUGGAAGGUGCUAUUACAAGUGAAGUCAAAACAGAGAAUAUGAUGUGGUAUCACUGGUAAGGCAAUGCCUCGUAGUUCGGAUCGUAUGCCUUGUUCCUAUGUCCUGAGGGGGCACAAAACAAACAUGAGUGGACCAAGUUGAUAUAUAUAAUACUGAAACAAUUAUUCAUCAACAUACUAACCCCAAAGUUUUAUGAAAACUCAAUAGUAUAAUAUGUAAUAGGUUUUCCCGAAAACCCUAGCAUGCCAUAAAACCUUUGUAAAACAUAUGUUAUAUAUAGCGUGCUAAAUAGUGGUAUCAGUGUCGCCGAAGGCAUAGAGAACUCUUCAUUCGCCUGAAGGCAUAUAGAACAUUUCAUUCGCCCGAAGGCAUAUAUAGCACUUCAUUCGCCCGAAAGCCUUCAUUCGCCCGUAGGCUCCUACAACACCCACCCGAAAGCAUAUAAGUAUCAAUUGCCCGUAGGCUCCUAUUGCACCCACCCAAAGGCAUAUGUAUAGUGACCACUAAAUAAGCACAAAAAUCGUUGAGUAUAAUCUUUCUAACAUAAGUACAUAUAUCUCAACGAAGCUCAGUAGCUCAAACAUCAUAUCUCAAAAAAUCUUCAUAGUAUAUAGUCAUCCAUCAUAUAUACUACAAAGCACAUGAAAAUCGAUAAAGUAUGGUAUUCUAAAAUAUUCUUAGUAAAGCAUGAUAUUUCAUAUAGUGCAAAUCUAAUAUACUCAUAAACGUUUCAUUAAAUCAUGUUUUUCAUGUAUGCAUUUCUAAUAGUAAAAUAUGCAUUUUAGAAGGGGUCCACUCACAGAUACUCCGUCGUCGAAGAGCCGUGCUAAAUAGGAAGAAUGGAAUCGCCUCUAAUAAUCGCACCUAAGCACAUAAAUGUUCCAAUUUAUAAAACUCUACCAUAACGAUUGAAUUUUAGAAAACGGACAUCAUAAACGGAUUCAGGACGUCGAAAAACAUAAGGGGGGACCUCGAUUACCCCCACACACCGCUGUAAGGUGGCGGCUCAGACGGCCACGUGCCGCUAUGGGUCGCUGGAAAAGUCGUUGGCGCUGUGGACAGUGGCUCGUAUGCUCCACGCGCCAACACUAACAGCCCUUCACACGCGCCCACAGGCAGUCUCACGCGCGGCCCACACGCUGGCUGGGCUCAGGGUUUAGGCUUCUGGGCUUGGGCCGGGCGCAAUUGGUUUUGGGUUAGUUCUUGGGAUUAGGUUAAGAGGGUUUAGGCCGAGUCAUCACGUCCCAAAGGCCUUGUUUCAUCAUGUCCCAAAUGCCCGAGUCAUCACGUCCCAAAGGCCUUGUUUCAUUUGGGUUUUGGGUUGAGUUUGGUUUGGGCUCAAGGGUUACCGGGUUUGGGUCAUUUCGACCUGGUUUCGACGGAAGGGAAGGCCGGAGCUUCCCGAGCUCCGUUCAAUGCCGAUUCUCAACCCUAGGGUGUGAUCUAGCUAUCAAAUUGAAGCUUAAGAGGAGAGGAAGAGUUUUGUACCUUAAACGAGUCGUGUGGUGGCUAGAGUUUGGCUCAAAGGCCACUGGGCUCGCCGGGGAAGUUUGUUGGGUUUCCUGGGCUUCACAGAGGCAGAGGGAGAGAGAGACUCAACACAGGGAGGUGUGGAAGUGUCGUCGUCGUCAUUGCUUUCCUCGAUUUGGGUGUGUGUUACAUCAGGGAGAAGGAGAGUGUCUGUGUGAAAGUGAGUGAGUGAGCUGAGAGAGAGCUCGGGGGAGGGAAGAGAGAAGGAGAUAGGAGGUGGGGGUGGUGCUGGGUGGUGCCACGUGGCAAACAUAGAGAGUGGGAGAGUUAUAAAAUAAUAACAAAAAAAUAAAAAAAGGGAUGGGGGAUCCGGAUAAGGUAAAAGGAUAAGGGGCAUAAUGGUAAUUUUCUAAUUCCGUUAAUAUGAAAUUACACAUAAUUUGGGACGGGGUUUCCCAACAUGUCGUAGACUUCUCUAUUGGAACAAUGACUCACUACAUAAUUUGUGUUCAGUUAACUUUUUUUUUUGUUGGAGCGAUUCUUAAGUGCUUGUGGGAAUGAUUUGCUUUGCUCAAUUAGGAUUUUGACACUGUGGGAUGAUGGUUAUGAAUUUAUGAUAUCAGAAUGCUAAAUUUUAUUUAUGUAUUACAAAGAAAGUUGAGAUUUUAUCCUAAAGUUAAUUGACAGCAUGUGGGAAAACACAAUUCCUUAUAAGCUUAUGCAAGGUUGCUUAACCUUUUGAUGGAAGACAACAACUUGCAUUACAGUGUAUUGUCUUUGAAUAAGAAAAGAUGUAACUACUGGAUACUCAGAUUUCUACUCACAUGUGAACUGAAUAAUAAUCCAAAUGUUUAAUUUAAACAAUUAAUUAAAUCAUUAUCCCUUAUAUUUUAGGUCUUAAGUUGCUUUUUUUUUAACCUUGAUGGUACGAGAAAAUUUUAUUGAUAUAAAAAAUAAAAGUUAUACUUGAUCAGGGACAAAAACCUUGCCUCUCCUUGCAAGAAACAAGGAGAGAACAAAAACUUGACCUCUCCAUGAAUCUUGAAGAAAAUGAAUACAAAAAAAGAUGGGUUAUAAUUUAUAAAGGACCAAAACCUCUCUGAAACGAAACUUAAAAACACUGUAACAAAGCAACAAUCUAAAAACUGAAUCACAGAGAGAUUACCUUGAGUUGAAUUAUUCUCUCUAAUAGUAUCUCUUGUAUUAAAAAAUUAUAACAUUCUUUUUUCUGCAUUUUAAAAUUAGGAUGGUAACUCAAUUGCCAAAAAUUUCCAAUUCAAAUGAUUAAAGAUGUUUAUUUUCCAAAUUUUAAUAUAUGAAAACGUGACUUGAGGACCAUAUGGACCUACAAACGUCAGUGGAAGUUAAACAAUAAAGUAAUGGGAAACAAACAAUUUUACUAUCAUAAAGCUUCUUUUUCACUUUUUUUACUUUAUAAAAAGUGUGGUGCUAUUUACCAUCAAAAAACUUCUUUUUCUUCAAUGGCCUACUUUAAUUUUCACUUUCUUUUUAAUUUUUAAUUGUUAAACUGAAUAAAUUGAAAGAAAAAAAAAAUUAAAGAAUUGAAAUUUACAAGUGUGUGAGGUAAAAAUAAAAUGUGGAUAACAUUAUCCCUACGAAGUUAUCGCUAGUAAAAGUAAAAAAGAAACCCCAUCAGCAAGUUAUACUUUUGUCACAAAAAGUUAUAGAAGAAAAGGUCCAAACUUUCGAAUUCCAUGUCUACAAAACCUCACAAGGCAAUGCAGAGAGUAAUGCUACUCCAAUUUGUUAUCUUAAUCAUUUUUUGGUCUCUCAAGCUUUCAAGUUUCUAUCUGCCUUUCUGGGUAAGCUUCUCUCUCUCUCUCUCUCUCUCUCUCUCUCUCUCUCUCUCUCUCUCUCUCUCUCUACUUAUAAAAUCCUCCCCAUUAAUUAUUUGAUCUUCUUUAUAUAGUAACUUUGAAUGUUUUAUCUGCACUGUUCUGUGUUCAUAUCAAUUCGAAGCUAUGUAUUUUGCUACACGAAAGUGAUCAAAAUAAUUACCCAGUUGAAGAACCCUACCAUAAUCAGAUUCUCACUUUACUAGGCGAACCCUUUUUGUAAUUGUUCCGAGAGAAAUGCUAAAUAGACUCUUAAAAGUGGUACUCUCCGUGGACUGUCUGCCACUUCAUAUUUUUGGCACGAGUAUUAACUAUAAACUGAGAUGGCAGAGUGUCUAUGGAGAGUCAGCACUUGGAGAGAGUCUCCUUAGCAUUUCUCUUGUUCCAAAUUCAAACGAAAGAUUUCAACUUUCUUCAUUUUCCUCAGAAACCAAACAAACCAAUAAGAAUUAACACUUCAACAGGCUGGACUUUCUUCAAUAAACAUGAGUCGUCUGUUUUAAAUCCUCUUUUUCUUUUUAUUUUCGGCUGCCCUCACUUUGAUCCUUUGUGUUUAUAGGCAUAAGUGCUAGUUCUACAAUGGCUUACGUUCCACCACACAGGCGGCACUCGAAGGAAUCGGAGAGGCCGUUGCCAACUCCAGAGCUGCUUGCUCCUCAAUUCAAGAAAAACUCAAAUGACAAGCAAUAUAAUAAGUCUAAUGUGGGUUGGAGUGGAAAAGUAGUUUAUGCAGACAAUUCUACUCAUAGAUGGUGCGCCAUCCCUUUGGAUGACGAGAACCAGUUUCCAUCUUUUGUUAAUCUUGAGCCCGUUGCCUUGGAGUCUGCUGAGCAGACAAUUGGAAAAAAUCGUGUAGCUCUGAUCAAUACUAGUCUAAAUAAUGGUUAGAACUUCAAUAUUACUUUUAGUGCGUUUAUCUUAUAAGUUUUUACUUGGGUUAUGGAUUUGUUUGGCUGAUACUUGACAGAAGGCAGUGAGGUGAAAUGGAACUUGCCAAGGAGCCCUUGGGAAUCUAUAACAGAAAACGUGCUCGAAGACUUACUUUCGGCAUUUAAAGACAUGAGGAAUGAAAUGAAGUCUGCGAAGUCCAAAGAAGAAUAUCCAACUUUGGUUGCCAAAGUGGGGAAAGUACUCUUUCACAGGUUAGAUUUCCUCCUUACCUAAUCCAUUGGUUAGCUUUCGAGCCUUUUGUGCCAUUCAUUAAUUUGAUUGUGUCAUGCUAAUAUUUAUCAAUUUGUUCUUUUAGCUGCCUCAGAAUACUGGUUAAAGUAGAAGAAAGGAAUAGUCUAUAGUCUAUACUAUGAUAAAAGGUCAUAUUUUGGCAUUUUAGCUUAAGAAGAUACGGUGCCAAGUUGGACGGUGAAGUAGGAUUAUAAAUUUCUGCCCUUGUUUUUCGAUACUUGAUACAGUUAUAUUUCGGUAUUGAUGCUUAAUCACUGUCAAUCAUCCCAUAUUUCGCAUAAGUUUUGUAACAACGGAAAAGAAUGUUGCACUACUCCUUUGUUGUACAUGAGCAGAUGAAAGACACUUUUUGUUGAAAUCUUCGUAACAGGAGCCCUUCAGUUAACAUGGAAUAUAUCAGAAAAAAAUUUGUCUACUGAAACCUUGAAACAAUGGAGGAAAUCAUUUUACACAAACAUCCCUGUUUCAUAUAAGGAAAAGAUUGUAAAGGGAGUAGUCCCAAAAGUUGGAGUUGAUUUCAAAGAGGAGAAAGAUACAUGGCUGUUGGGCCAUUCAUUUAGUUGAUUGUUUCAUGCGAUUAUCCUUUUUACCUUUAUGUUUUUCUUUUAUCCGCCUCAGAAUACUGGUUGAAGUAGAACAAAAUAAUAAUGUAUACUAUGAUAAAAGUUUACAUUUGGCAUUUUAGCUUAGAAGGUAGGAUGCAAUAUUAUUUUGGUAUGGAUGCUUAAUUACCGUCAAUCAUCUCAUAUUUCAUAUAAUUUGUACACGAAUAGAUGUAUAACAAUUUUUGUUGAAUUCUUUGAAUCAGGAGCCCUUCAGUUAACGGGGCAUCCAUCAGAAAAGAAUUGUGCACUGAAAUCUUGAAACAAUGGCGGCGAUCAUUUUACACAAACACUCCUGUUUCAUAUAAGGAAAGGAUUGUCAACGAAGUUGUCCCAAAAAUUGGAGUUGAUUUCAAAGAUGAAGAAGAUAUAUACGAAGUACAGGUAUUUCUGUUAGACACGUCAACUUACUGAGUUCUGAGUUCAUGUUUUCCACAAUUCUGACUGUAGCUAUUGAAUUGCUCAUUUAUUUUCUUCUUGUAUAGUUGUCUGAUUCUACGAAGCCAGAUUUACCUUUCUCCUGCAAAUGUCGGGUAAUGGAAGAACAUGGAAAGCUACAACCCUGCACGGCAAGUUUUCCAAUUCAUUCUAACUAAAUUUGAUGAAACCAUAUAUGUUGCAUCAAUAUCACGAUUGAGUUGCCACGAUAUCGAUUAGAUAAUUGAGAUGUAACAUAUUAUGCUGGAAAAUAUGAGUGUUGUAUAAGAAAACUAAAUGUUCAACCGCUGAAUGUGAUUAAGCUCUCCAAUUUUUGGAAUAAUUUACGAGGAGCCUUUCCAGAUCAUUAAUAUCCUGAGACUUCCAUCGAAAUGGCAACUUUCUUAAUUUUCCCUGUUGUUUGGCGUAAGGUUUGUAUCCUGAGCAUCGGCUGAGACUUACAUCGAAAUGUCAACUUUCUUUCAGAUCAAAUUCAAUCCAGUGCGUAACAUGGUAAUGGACAUUUCAUGCACUACUAAGAAUCUGGACCUGAGGUUAAUGCUAUGCACGAAGAAACUCGUAACUGAUCUGACUGUAAGCUGCUUCACCCAGUCCUUUAGAAAUUUACAUUUCUAUUCCUUGUUUCAGCAAAGAUAUUAAAUAUGACCUAUAUUUAUCCUCAAGCCACAAUCAAAACAAAGAAUAGAAGCUUUUGUAGAUAUAUAACGGGACGAUCAUGUGGGUUAACCAUACUGGAUCCCUGGCUGAACUUAUGCUUCUUGGAAUGAAGGUUCGUGAUCAUAUUAACUGUUGCUAUUUCAGGAUGAUGAGAUGCAAAGCAUUACGGAUCUGAUUAAUUCUGCAAUUCUAGAUCCAAAUGUGAAGGGUGGAUUGAGAUGGCCCCUGGGGAAGGAGUCUUCUGGAGAUAGAUACAGAGUUGUUAGGGUUUGGCACGUAAUAGCUAAUACGUAUAGAAAUUCAUCACUGACUCUGAAAGUGAAACACACUGAUCGAUUUGAUUUUAGAACCUUAACUGGAGAAACUUCUUGGUGGACAAGUCUGGUGCUGGAAAACGUCGUGUCAAAGUUACAGGUAAACGCUGCCUUUUCUCUGGGACAAUUUCUUUUAGUUCAUGGGCUGAAAUAAAAGAUUUGUUUGAGAAGGUUUAUCAUGUGCUGAAAUCUCCUUUUCUUUCAAUUUUCAGGAAGAGAAUGUGGAAGCCAGCACAAUUUCUGAGAUACUCAAGGAAGAUAUGCAGUUGAUAUGGGAAAACUUCUUGAGCUGUGAACCUUUUCUAACAUGAAAUUGCAUGUUGAUCAGUGAUCACUGUCUAUGCGACGUGUAUUUAUCUGUCUACAUUAUGAAUUUUAAGUUCAACUUUCGGCAUCGUUUGAUGAAUAAUUAGUAACUGAUUUAAUAUUUCUAGCAUUUCUGUUUGUAUCUGACAUUGUUGAUGGUUAAAUAAUGGGAAAUUGCUAAAGACAACACAAUUUUUCUCUAGGGCAAAUCUCUAGAUAGGGUUUAGGUGUGGACGACACAGCGUAUCAGAUACAUGAAGGCUGAGUUUCUCUGAGAAAUGCACCCUUCAGCUGAUCUGAUCCAAACCGGCGGCAUCAGCUAGUGCUUUGCCGCACUAGUUCACCUGCUUUUCGAUCCCGGCGCCCCGAGCUAUUCUCAGGUAUUACAGUUCGCUUGCUUGGUUGUUGUGCCUUGUACCUGUUCGACGAAUUGCCCCAGAGAAUCUGAAAUUCUGUAUUUUCUGGGUGCCCAAGGAUUUUCUGCGUUCACCACAAAACUGUUGCUUGAUAUCAAAAGGCAUCAAUUUGCUUUAUGGUGUUGACAAUUCAAAACUGAAUUAUCAUGGGCACAAAUAGUGUUUGUCCAUGGGGCUUCCAACUUCCGACUCCAGUUGUGCGUGGCGACAAAACAUAUGUCAAAAUUAGCGAGGAUCUAUACCAAGAACAGUUGAAGUUGUUUCAAAAUAAUCUCCUUGGACGUUUGCUCCUCAAAAACGGUUCUACGACAAUAAAAACCGGUGCUAUAAAAUCUUGUUUAGAAGAUGCAUGGCACCCUACUGCAUCAUGAAACCUUGUUCCUAUAGGUAAAGGCUAUUUUGAUAUCCAUUUCAAUAAGGAAGAUGAUAUGCGAUGGGCAUGGGGUGGCGGUACGUGUACUCUCGCUAUUGGUUUAUUCAAGUUAUCGAAAUGGGUGCCAAAUUUUCAACCAAAUGACAUUCUCUCUCAAACUUAUGCUCAGGUAUGGAUUAAUUUUUUUGGUUUGAGUCAGGAAUAUUAGCAUCCUAGACACUUGAUGGAAAUUGCGAGAGGGGUUGGCAUUCCCUUGCAACUAGAUAUAGCUACAAGGGAAAGGUAAUAUGGUUAUUAUGCACGUUUAUUAGUUGAUGUCAAUCUUGUAGAUGAUUUACCUACAUCCCUUAUGGUUGAAAGAGAAAGUCAUGGCUUCCCAGUUGAGGUGGUUUAUGAAAAUUUACCGCGUAAAUGUAGUCACUAUGGUUUGAUAGGGCAUUUGGUUAAUAGUUGCAAACAACUUAAACAAAUGAUGAGAGGUUGUUCUCGUAGCCGGACGCGGAAGGAUAGUAACAUGAGGGACAACAAAACCGGAGACCACUCUCGGAGUCAACUGCACAUGGAAUAUCAUCCCAAAAAGGAUACGGCAAUACCAGUUAAUGUUUUAUGUGGGUACAACGCCAAUUGUCUCUGAUAAUGAUAAUAAUGUCAUACUAACUCCUAAUAAUGCCCAUACUCUCAUAAACCAAGUUCUUGCACAGGUGGUCGAUGAGGCCUUAGGGACCAUUGCCCAAGCUAUGGUUAAUUCUGAAAAUGAAGAACAUGGUAUCCAAUCCCUUAGGACAUCUCAUAUUAGCAACUCUACGACCAGAUCGUUGUCAUCAGAUGUAUCACUUUCUCAUAAUAGUCAUUCUUAUGGUCAGCAUUUGGGCAACACUGAUGUCCCAAAUAAUUUUGGCCCGAAGGAUCUUCAUGACGACUCUAGCAUUCCUCCUAGGUUUGAACAUGUUGCGACAUUAUCUAAGGAUGUCAUCGAUAUUGUUAAUCACAUAGAUGGUUGUGAUAAGGAUGGUUUUACUCUUGUGUUAUCUAACAGUAAAAAAAAACAAAAAACAAAAGCAGGUUGCUAAGCUUAACCAGCCCUCUGAUAAACCCUAUCCGAGUAGGGUCCGUGGAAUACCAUCUUGUUAUAAAUGAAGAUUCUUUUCUGGAAUAUCCGUGGCAUUGGUAAUGAUGACUCUCAGGCGGAACUCUGUCGGUUGCAUCACCCAUUGUGGAGCCCAUGGUGACUUUUAAUUCUAUUUCAGCUGCUUAUUGAGAUUCUUUAAAUUUAUUUGAUCUUACUUUUAAUUCUAGAGGAACUUUUACUCCCAAUCUUUGGUUACUAACAUUUUCGACUUGUGCAGACCCUUUAGUUAUUUCUAUAUCUGAUCAAUAUGUUACUGUUCGAUGUACUUUUGAUCAUAUCCUAAGUCAGUUCACCUUUGUUUAUGCAAGCCCUUCAUCUAUCAAAAGAAGAGACCUAUGGGUUGACUUUAUUACUCUGUGCUCACAAACACAAGUUCCAUGGAUGGCUAUUGGCGAUUUCAAUGCUAUCCUGGGUUCUCACGAGCAGAUAGGAUGAGGCAGACCAUCUUAAACUUCUUGCGCUGAGUUUAGUAACAUGUCUAACUCUUGUAACUUUACGCACUUGAACACUUCUGGGGUAGCUUUUACAUGGUCUAAUGGUUGGAGGUUUUGUGGUCGCACUGAAAUAAGGUUUGAUCAUUCUUUGUGUGAUAUAAGUUGGUUUGAUUCUUAGCCUCACUCUAAAUGCAUAGCGUUGCCAAAGAUAGUCUCAGAUCAUAACCCUCUUAUCUUUUCUGGUUCAAGAGUUUUAAGUAGUGGUCAUCGUCCUUUCCGUUUUCAAUCAAUGUGGGUUCAACAUUCAUCUUUUUGAGAAACUGUAACUCAAUGUUGGAGGAAUACAGUUGCAUAUGGUUGUUCUAUGUUUGUCAUUCUGCAAAAAUUAAAAGCUCUAAAAAUCUGUUUGCGCCAAUGGAACUUUUCAAUUUUUGGUGAUGUCUAUAAUAAAGUGGCUGAUGCUCGGCAUGAACUCUCUAUGAUUCAACAGAGAAUUUCAACUGAGGGUAUCAAUAAUGAUCUUUUCAAAGAGGAGAUUGUUACCAAGACUACAGUAAUGGAGUCUCUUAAAAUGCAGGAGGCCUUUUGGAAAGAUAGAGCUCGUGUUAAGUGGUUGACUGAAGGGGAUAGAAAUUCUUCUUUCUUUCAUGCCUAUGCUUGUAUUAAAUCAUCCAGCUCUUGUAUUAGUUGUAUUCUUGAUAGAGAUAACCUUCUUACUAAUCUACAGGCAAUUGAGAACCAUAUUGUUAAUUUCUAUUAGACUUUGUUUGGUUCUUCUUUCAUGUAUUGAUGAGGUUUGUGAGGUCAUUCAGCCAAUGGUCACUGAUUUUGAAAAUGAUCUUUUAUCUGCAUUACCUACGGAUAAGGAAAUUAAGGAGGCAAUUUUCUCUUUAAGUGCUUAUAGUGUGCUCGGGCCAGAUGGUUUUCCAGGUUUUUUCUAUCACCAUUGUUGGGAUAUUGUUGGCUUUGAUGUUAUUCAAUUUGUGAAGCAAUUCUUUCAAUUGAAUUGGUUAUACCCUAAUGCCAACAGUAAUUUCUUGGUUCUGAUACCAAAGGUGGAAGACGCUAUUUCCAUUACCUAAUUUAGACCUAUUGCUUUGGAAAAUUUUCUUUUCAAGAUUAUUCCCAAAAUUUUGGCAGUUUGUCUUUCUCAUGUUGUUCAACACAUUAUUUCUCCUCAAUAAGCUGCUUUUAUACCUAGGCGACGUAUCACAGAUUGUAUUUUUCUUGUUUCAAAAUGUUUCAAUGUGCUUGACAAAAAAUCUCAUGGUGGUAAUAUGGGAGUUAAAGUUGAUAUAGCUAAGGCUUUUGAUACUUUAGAUUGGUCCUUUCUAUUGCGGGUGCUUACUAACUUUCGGUUUUCCACUUGUUUUAUGGACUGGGUUUCUACUAUCUUAAGAUCUGCCAAAAUUGUCCAUCUUAAUCAAUGGUUCCCGGCAUGGUUUUUUCUCUUGUUCGUGAGGAGUGCACCAAGGGGAUCCUUUCUCUCCGUUACUUUUCUGUCUAGCUAAGGAGGCUCUAUCAAUGGGUCUGAGUCGUCUCCAACUUGAUGGGCUUACUAAGCCAAUUUUUACCCCAAGAGGUUGUAUCUCUCCUUCUCAUGUUCUCUAUGCAGAUGACUUAUUCAUUUUUUGUAGAAGUAAUGGUAUCACAUUGCUUAAUUUGCGAGGUUUUUUCGAUAGAUAUAGUAGGGCCUCUGGUCAAUUUAUCAAUAAGGCAAAAAGUACUUCUACUUGGGCUCCACUUCAAGGCACCGAAAAGUUGUGGUUUAGAGUUACUUGGGAUUCAAAGAAGGCAAAGUACCAUUUGUCUAUUUAGGAGUUCCAAUCUUUUGUGGCAAGCCUAAGAAGUGUCAUCUUCAAGCCUUGGCAAAUAAAGCUAAAGCUAGUUAACAGGUUAGAAGGGGAAACUUUUAUCUAUGGCAGGAAGAAUUCAACUCAUUCAAUCAAAUUUUUAGAGUAUGCUUCUGCAUAGUUUUUCUGUUUAUCAGUGGCCUUCUUCCUUGUUGAGGUCUUUUUCGCGAUGUGCUCGCAACUUUAUAUGGUUUGGUGAUGUGACCUCCAAGAAGAUUGUUACCGUUUCUUGGCAUCAAAUAUAUGCUCCGAAUAAUGAGGGUGGUUUGGAUUGUGUGAUCUUUGCUCUCUUAAUACUACAACUCUCUUAAAGCUUGGAUGAGUUAUUAUUACUUCUGAUUCUUUGGAGUGUAUAUUUUCGAGAAUGAUUCCAGCUACAUGGUCAUUUAUAUUCUUGUAGUUACAAGCGAUCUUCUAUAUGGCCUGGUAUUAAAUCCAUUCUUCGUAUCAUGUUUCAGAAUUGUCGUUGGGUGAAUGGAAAUGGUUUUAGUACUUCUCUUUGGGUUGAUAAAUGGUUGGAUACGCCUAUUGUGAACGUCGUUGGUGCAACUGAGAUUGCUCAUUCUCUAUCUUGUACUAGGGUCUCAAAAAUUAUUCGUAUGGGAAAAUAGGUUAUUCCUUCUAUUUUUUUCUUUUACUUUUCCAGACCUAGCUAAAGAGAUUUUAGAAAUGCCUUUUCCAAUUGAUAAGGACAAGGACGUGUUAAUUUGGGAAGCUUCUACAUCUUGAGUCUUUUCGUUUUUUUAUGGCUAUGAAAUUGUUCGUCAUCGAUUUCCUGUUAAGAAUUGGGCUUCUAUUAUUUGGCAUCAUUUCAUUCCACCUCGCUACUCUAUUUUAGUUUAGAAAAUUCUUUUCAAAAAGCUCCCAAUGGAGGAUCAACUUCAGCAACAGGGCAUUCUGCUGGUUCCAAUAUGCCAACUAUGUUACAAGAAUUCUGAAUCUGUUGACCACUUAUUUUUUAGUUGUGAAUUUGCACAACAUGCUUGGUGUUGGCUAGCUACCCAAUUUGGCACUACUUUUCCACCUACGAGCUCUUUUUCUGAUUUAUGGCUUGCUUUUGUGUCAAAGAGGUUUUCUUCACAAUUUAACAAUGUUUGGCUAGCUUCAGGGUUUUUCUUGCUAAUGGCUAUUUGGAAGAUACGUAACAAAGUGAAGUUUGAAUGUAAACCCCCUUCCUUCUCAUGCAUUUGCCGUUCCACCUCAGCUUGGAUUAGGCAGGUUGGAGUUCUUACCCCUGGUCAUGUACGAGGCAUUUUGGAUAGGCAACUUUUAGUCUCUCUUGGAAUCUCGGCUAAGUCUUGUAAAACUCUUUCAAUAAUCCCUGUUCUUUGGCAUCCCCCUUCUUUUUGUUGAGUCAAAGUGAAUAUUGAUGGCCUGCUAAAGGUAACCCGAGUCAUGCGGCUUGUGGCGGGGUUUUCCGAGAUUCUACGGGCUAUUUUCUUUGUGGUUUCUCCCUAAGCUUGAGGCAUCGUACUUCUUUCUAUGCGGAGCUCCAUGUUGUCAUCCUUGAUGUGGAAUUGGCUCACGUGCGGGGUUGGCAAAAUAUAUGGCUUGAAAGUAACUCUUCUAGCGCGAUAUCCUGUUUUGCUUCUAGGCAUUUCUCUCCUCCUUGGUCGCUUCAGACACGUUGGAACAAUUGUAUUCUAUGAUUGCAAAACAUGGUUUUUCGUUGCUCUUAUACAUUUCGAUAAGGGAAUGAUGUUGCUGAAAAAUUAGCCAAUUUAGGGCUUCUCUCAUCUUCACUUGUUUGGCAUUCCGCUCCUCCUAUAGAGAUUCUUCCUCUUCUGCACUCAGAUUUCUUGGGCAUGCCAGCCUACAGAUUUGUCUCCCCUUCUUGAUGUGUGAUUUCCUUUUUUACCUAAUCUUUUUGGAUUUCCUUUUUUGUUUUGCAGCUUGUCUUGCAGGUUCUUACCUUUAAAAAAAAACAACCGUUUGUUGCUUCAUUGUAAAACUAUGUAGUCGUAUUUAAGUGCUUAUUGGGAGUGAUUUGCUUUGCUUAAUUAGGAUGUUAACUUUUGCUUGAGUAUGUAUCAUUUAGGUUCUACCCUAAAGUCCUUAAUUGAUAAUAGUUGGAGUGUGUGUGUGUGUACACACGCACUUGAGGUUCUACUCUAACUUCUACUAAGCUAAUGCAAAGUCUUUUAACUUUCUAAUGAUGGACAAUAUUCAAUAUCACACAUUAAAGAUCCAAAUGUUUAUACAUUAAUCUGUCCUUUGGUUUUUUAACUUUUUAAUGGCGAAGAUAAAGUGUUUUCUUCUUCAUAUUGAUUUGUUGUCGGAGAAUAAGCGUUUCCUUCAAAUUGAUUUUCUUUAAUAAUGAAUAUCCAUUUUCUAAACAAAAAUGCUACUUUUAUCAUAUAUUUAUAUCACCUCUAACAGAGAUGAGACCCCAUGCAUUAGAGAGAUGGUACAAAUAAGUGGUAAGUAUAACAUUACUCUUUUAUAAAUUGUUUUUUAUUCAUGUGGCACUGAUUUUGUGUGGCCUGCGACAUCCACAUGGGUAGAUAACAGAGAAAAUAACAGAAAUUGAUACAUAUGUAUAAUUAUGAAAUCAUGAGCCAUUGUAUGAAAUUGAAAAAUGUAAUUUUAUUCUUUACUUGUAAGUAAGAUGUUUUAGGUUCAAAUCUCGUAGAUGUCAAAUUCGAAACCAAAUUAAGUUGCCCAUUAGGUUUAACCAAACUCUCCUCCCGUGUGUAAUUUUAUUCUUUAUUAAAAUCCUCCAGCGAGGUUAAUUAGCAAAAAGAUAAAGAAAACGCCCUCCGGCAAGGUUUGUCACAAAAAAAAAAUAAAUAAAUAAAUACAACCCUCCAUCAAGUUGUCUCUAAAAAGUAAACAAAACGCCCUCCGGCAAGAUUUGUCACAAAAAAAAAAAAAAAAGAUAUAACCCUCCAUCAAGUUGUCUCUAUACGGAAAAGAAAAAGAAAAAAAACCCCUCCAGCAAGUUGUCUCUAAAAAGUAAAGAAAAACCCCUCUCGCAAGUUAUUUUAUCUAUUUUUUUGUGUACAUUCUGAAUUAUUUUUUAGUUAGAGAUAACUCGAUUUUGUAACAACGUCAUCACUUGUAAUUUGUAAACCUAUAUAAUCAACGUGAAGCCUCGCUCAUUAUUCAUUGAGCAUUCAUCCUGAACUUUACUGAGCGUUCUUUUAUGGUAUUCACGAGCUAAAGUCUUACCACAUCAUUUGCAUUUCUUUUUUUUUUUUUUUUCAAAUGGCGUAUAAUUCUUCCAGCUCUUCCACCUCCAUUCCUCUCCCUACCCUACCUGAUGUUUCCACCUUCCUUAAGAUUAAACUUGACCCUACCAAUUACCCUCUCUGGCAAGUCCCGAUGCUUACCUUGCUUCGUAGCAGGAAUCUCGUCUCCUAUGUUGAUGGCACUAGCAAAUGUCCUCCUGCCUUUCUCAAAGAUGAUGAGGGCAUUUUUACUGAUACUGUGAAUCCGGAGUUUGAAGCAUGGAUUCAACAAGAUGCUAUGGUUAUGUCCUGGAUCAAGAGCUCUGUUCAUCCCACUGUGUUGGGUGCCCUAAUCGGGAAAACCAGUUCUCAUUCUGCAUGGAUCUGUCUGCGCGAACGCUAUGAUUUGCAGUCCACUGGCCGUCUUCUUCAACUUCGCAGUGAGCUGAUGAACACCCACCGUGGUGACUCCUCCAUUGCUGAGUUUCUCGGUCGUGUCAAUUGCCUCGCUGAGACUCUCUCCUUAUCCGGUGCUCCUGUUUCUGAGUCAGAUAUUGUUGCCAUUGUUCUCAACAAUGUUGGUCCUGCAUAUGAAAGCACCGUGGCUUCUGCUCAGGCUCGUGAUGAAGCCAUAUCUUACAGUGCUUUGGAGGCCCUUCUGCUCAGCGCUGAGCGCAGUCAAGAGAUGGAUACAGUCUUCUCUGAUGAUACUGGACCUACUGCUCUCGCUGCUGCUUGUGGCGGUUGUCCUGGUACCUUUCGUGGUUGUGGCGAAGGCUAUGGACGUAUUCGUGGUGGUAUGAGUACUUUGUUUUUAAUCCUCUUUCCUUUUUUAUUUUCGGUUGGCCUCAUUUUGAUUUUUGUUUUCAUAGGCACAAGUGCUAGUUCUAGAAUGGCUUACAUUCCAACACACAAGCGGCACUUGAAGGAAUCGGAGAGGACAUUGCUGACAUCAGAGCUGCUUGCUUCACAAUUGAAGAAAAACUUAAAUGUCAAUCCAUGUAACAUGUCUAAUGUGGAUGGGACUGGAAGAAUAGUUUAUGCAGACCAUCCUACACAUAGAUGGUGUGCCGUAGCUUUGGAUGACGAGAACCAGUUUCCAUCUUCUGUUAAUCUUGAACCUGUUACCUUGGAGUCUGCUGAGCCGAAAAUUGGAAAUAAAUUUCUAGCUUUGAUCAAUACUAGUAUAGAUAACGGUUAGUACUCUAGCAUUUCUUUUAGUGCGUUUAUGUUGUAUGUUAUUACUUGGGUUGUGGAUAUGUUUGGUUUUGUUUUUCAUGGUUGAUACGUGACAGAAGGCGGUGAGGUGAAAUUGAAUUCGCGAAGGAGCCUUGGGGCAUCUAUAGCAGAAAAUGUGCUGGAAGACUUAGUUUCUUCUUUCGAACACAUGAGGAAUGAAAUGAAGUGUGCAAAGCUCACAGAAGUAAAUCCUACUUUGGUUGCUAGAGUGGGCAAAGUACUUUUUCGUAGGUCAGAUUUCUUCCUUCACCGAUUCAUUGGUUAGCUAUUGAGCCUAUUGUGCCAGUCAUUUAGUUAAUUGUUUCUUGCGAUUAUCCUUUUUACCUUUAUGUUGUUCUUUCAUCCGCCUCAGAAUACUUGUUGAAGCAGAACAAUAUAAUGGUCUAUACUAUGAUAAAAGGUUACAUUUGGCAUUUUAGUUUAAAUGGUAGGAUUCCAAGUUGGACAGUGAAGCAGGAUUCUAAAACUCUGCCCUUGUUUUUCGAUACUUGAUACAAUAUUAUCUUUGGUAUCGAUGCUUAAGUAUUGUUAAUCAUCUAGAUUUCUUAUUAAUUUUGUACACGAACAGAUGUAUAACGAUCUUUAUUCAAAUCUUUGAAUCAGGGUCCCUUCAGUUAGCAUCGAAUCCAUCAGAAGAAAUUUGUGUCCUGAAAUCUUGAAACGAUGGGGGCGAUCGUUUUACCCAAAUGUUCCUGUUUCAUAUAAGGAAAGGAUUGUGAACGAAGUUGUCCCACAAAUUGGAGUUGAUUUCGAAGAGGAGGAAGAUAUAUACGAAUUACAGGUAUUUCUGUUAGACAUGUCAACUUACUGAGUUCUGAGUUCAUGUUUUCCACAAUUCUGACUGUAGCUAUGAAUUGCUCAUUUAUUUUCUUCUUGUGUAGUUGUCUGAUUCUACGAGUCCAGAUCCAACUCUCUCCUGCAAAUGUCGGGUAAUGAAGGAACAUGGAACGCUACAACUCUACGAGGCAAGUUUUCUAAUUCAUGCCAACUAAAUUUGAUGGAACUAUAUAUGCUGCGGCAAUCUCACGGUUGAGUUGCCACAAUAGUGAUUCGAUAAUUUAGAUAUAAUAUUUAUGCUGCAAAUAUGAGUGUUGUAUAACAAAACUAAAUGUUCAACCACUGAAUGUGAUUGAGCUCUCCAAUUGUUGAAUAAUUUGAGAGGAACCUUUCCAGAUCAUUAAUAUUUUCAGGACCCUUCCCUCUCUUAAUUUGCCCUGUUGCUUGGCUUAGGGUUUAUAUCCUGAGACUUACAUCGAAAUGUCAACUUUCUUUCAGAUCAAAUUGAAACCAGUGCGUAAAAUGGUAAUGGACAUUUCAUGCACUACUAAGAAUCUGGACCUGAGGCUAAUGCUAUGCACUAAGAGACUCGUAACUGAUCUGACUGUAAGCUGCUUCACUCCGUCCUUUAGAAAUUUACAUUUCUAUUCCUUGUUUCAGCAAAGAUUCCUAUACCUAUCUUCAAGCCACAAUCAAAACAAAGAAUAGAACUUUUUCUAGAAAUGUAACGGGACCAUGUUGGUGAACUAUACUGGACCCCUAGCUGAAAUUAUGCUUCUUGGAAUGAAGUUUCGUGAUCAUAUUAAUUGGUGCUAUUUCAGGAUGAUGAGAUGCAAAGCAUUACGGAUCUCGUUAAUUCUGCGAUUCUAGAUCCAGAAGUGAAGGGUGGAUUGAGAUGGCCCCUGGGGAAGGAGUCUUCUGGAGAUAAAUACAAAGUUCUUAGGGUUUGGCACGUAAGAGCUAAUACGUAUAGAAAUUCAUCACUGAGAUUGAAAGUAAAACACUAUGACCGAUUUGAUUUUAGAACCCUAACCGGGGAAGCUUCUUGGGUGGCGAGUCUGGUGCUGGAAAACGUAAUGUCAAAGUUACGGGUAAACGCUGCCUUUUCUCUUGGACCCUUUUUUUUAGUUCAUGUGCUGAAAUAAAAGAUAUUUUUGAGAAGGUUUAUCCUGCGUUGAAAUCUCCUUUUCUUUCCAUUUUCAGGAAGAAAAUGUCGAAGUCAGCUCGGUUUAUGAGAUGCUUAAGGAAAAUAUGCAGUUUAUAUGGGAUAACUUCUUGAGCUGUGAAAGUUUUUUAACAUGAAAUUGCUUGUUGUUGUAAAUCAGUGAUCACUGUCUAUUCGACUUGUAUAUAUCUGUUUCCUUCCUUAGUUUUAUGUUCAACUUUUAGCAUCGUUUGAUGGAUAAUUAGUAACUGUUUUAUUGAUUUCUUGCAAUUCUGCUAUCUAUUUGUAUCUGGCAUAGUUGAUGGUUAAUGCACUUUUGGCAAUUUCAUUUCGAUGACUUCAUUGCCAGUAACUGCUUCGGCUCAGGUACUUCCUUACAACCAAGAUGGUUAGUGAAAUUUUUGUAGUUUCUUUUUGCCUUGCUACGAAUUUUAAGCAAAGUUCUGGUUUUAAAAUGGCUUACGUCCCCCCACAAGCGGCAGUUAACGGAAAAGGGGAGGCCCGUUACCAACACUGGAGCUGCUUGCACCCCAGUUCAAGAAAAAUUUAAAUGUGAAGCCAUCGAAGUAUAAUUUUGAUACAAGAUUUCUUUAUGCAAACCAUGCUAUAUCGAGAUUUUGCACCAUUGGUAUGGAUGAUCAGAAUUCAGAACCAGUUUCCAUCUACCGUUAUACUUGUGCCCAUUUCCUUGGAAUCUACCGAGUCGAAUAGUGAAGAAAAACCUCUAGCUUUGAUAGACUCCUGUCUAGAUAAUAGAAAGCAGUAGUCUAGCAUAUGGUUAAUAUAGGUGAAGUUGUGCUUGAGGACCUAGUUUAAAAUAUGGUACAGAAACUGGUUGGGAGGCUGUUUUUGGAAAUGCUCGUUUCAAAGUUACAGGUAAGUCUUGUAUUUUUCUCUGAAAAUCAAAUAUCUCUGAACCAAGAAAAGAUCUAUCAUGUGUUCAUAGUAACAUGACGUCGAUCUUAUUCUUUAGAUUUUUCAGGAAGAAAAUGUUAAAAUUCUUAACAAAGAAGAUCAGAAUUACAGAAGAAAGAAGAAAGAAGGAAUAUAGAGAAUGUAGAAGAAGACCUGGAAAUAAAACUAGAGAGAAUAUGAAAAGUUUUGUAUUGAUAGAAUGGUUAUUUCUUACAAACAUUAGACUGCAAAUGGCCUUUUUAUAUCCCUCUAGUAGUCUAACUACCUUGCUUACUGUGUAAGCUACACAUAACCCUCCUAACUAACUUUUAACAGAAAUAUUGAUGACAUGGCAGAUUAUAUGGCAUUCACUUGAGUCAAUAUCAGUCAACAUCCCCCCUCAAUCUCAACUAGGGAAACCAAGUUUGAGAUUGAAACAAUGACGAGUGAACGGCGGACUAUGUAAUCCUUUAGUAAGAAUAUCAGCAGUCUGUUCAUCAGUGGGAAGAUAUUCAACCAACAAAUCACCAUGAUGCACCCUUUCACGGACAAAAUGAUAAUCCGUAUCAAGGUGUUUGAUUCUCGAAUGAUACACUGGAUUAGCACUGAGUGCUAUUGCAGAUUUAUUAUCACAGAAUAUAGUUGGUUGAAAAGGUAAUACAACGCCCAAAUCUUUCAAAAUGAGCCGAAUCCAAGCCACAUCUGCUGCAGUAUGAGCAAGUGCCUUGUACUCCGCCUCGGUAGAACUUCGAGAGACGGAUGAUUGCUUCUUUGACUGCCACGAGAUUGGAUUUCCACCAAGAUAGACCACAUAACCAGUCACAGAUCGUCUUGUGUUCAAAUCAGCAGCCCAAUCAGCAUCAGAGAAUGCUGUCAAAUGUAUGUCAGUAUCAGCUGCAUAUGUAAUGCCACACUCUGCAGUGCCUUGAAGAUAUCUAAGAAUUCGUUUGACAGAAAUGAGAUGUAAAUCUGUCGGAGCAGUCAUAAAUUGACACACUGAAUUCACAGCAUACGCUAUAUCAGGACGUGUAAAUGUGAGAUAUUGCAGGGAACCAACCAAACUUCUGUACAAUGUAGAGUCCUGCAAUGGUAUUCCCUCAUGCAAGAGCAUUUGAUUGUGAGGUUUUCAUGGUGUAUUGGCAGGUUUACAAGAUUCCAUUCCAGCUUUAUGAAUAAGAUCUUUAACAUACUUUGAUUGAUUGACAAAUAUGUCUCCAUUCUCCUUGUAGUGAAUCUGAAGACCCAGGAAGUAAGUAAGUCUGCCCAUAUCCUUUAAGUAAAAAACACAUGUCAAAUCAUCAAUAACUUGCUGAACUUUGCUAGGAUUGGAUCCUGUCAAAAUGAUGUCAUCUACAUAUAGUAAAAGAAUCACCACAUCCUUGUCAUCAUUCUUCACAAAUAAACUUGUAUCCGAUGAAGAUGGUACAAAUCCCAAAGCUGGUAAAUAGGUUGUGAACUUUGAAUUCCAUGCCCGAGGGGCUUGCUUCAACCCAUACAACGAUUUAAUCAACUUACAGACAUAAUGGGGUUUAGUUUGAUCAACAAACCCUUGAGGCUGUUUCAUAUACACCUCUUCUUGCAAGUCACCAUGCAGAAAUGCAUUUUUGAUAUCUAAUUGCCUCAAAUCCCAUUUAUUGAUAGCUGCUAAGGACAAAAUGAGUCUUACAGUAGUGUGUCGGACUACGGGACUAAAAGUUUCUGAGUAAUCAAUGCCUGGUUCUUGGGAAAAACCUUGAGCCACGAGUCUGGCUUUAUACCUCGAUACACUACCAUCAGGAUUCUUCUUAACCUUAUAUACCCACUUACUGCCAAUAAUAGUUCUAUUUGGUGGAGAAGAAACCAAUUGCCAAGUUCCUUGAGCUUUGAGUGCAUUAAACUCUUCUUGCAUUGCACUUUGCCAAUGUGGACAUGUAGAAGCUUUUCGGAAUGUUGAGGGUUCCUCCAAAUCCUGUAUUGCAGCAAUAAAUGAAAAUCCCCCAGUAAAGUCACACUCAUUAUCCAUCUGGAGAGUUUGUAAUUCUGGAAAUGAACCAAUAUAACCUGUGUAAGAUAUUCGGGAAAUGGUACCUGACUUCAACCUGGUGACCAUAUUGUGAGCUGAUUCUUCAUUAGUUUCAACCACAGGAGAAGAGAUUGGUAGGAUUACCUCUAACUGAGAAGAACUAUGGACAGGCAACAAUGAUAUUGUACUUGGAGGUGAUGUUAAGAGAGUAUGAGAGCUAUGAGUAUGAGCAUUGAGAUCCUGAGAAACUUGACUUGAUGAGCUUGGAACCUGUAAGCUAUCCAUUGGUUGAUCUUCCAUAAUAUCUGGAUUGGCAGAUGACCCAGCAAGGGUUGGGGAGGAUAUGGGAUCAGGAGCAAAACAUGGUAUUUGAACCAUGAUUGGAAACAUUGUUGUACUCUGGACCUUAUUGAACUUCCCAGAAGACAACUGCAGUCUUGAUUUAAAUGGAAAUGUAGUCUCAUCAUGCACCACAUGUCUUGACAAUACUAGUUUAGUACUACUCAAAUCAUAACAGACUACACCUUUAUAUCCAGCCACAAAACCAAGAAAAACACAUUGCUUCGACCUAGGUUGCAAUUUAUGUUUAGUAUACGGCCUUAUGAAUGGAUAAACUGCAGAUCCAAAUAUCUUCAAUGUAUGCAACACAGGGUCUUGUUUAAACAUGAGCUGAUAUGGAGACUUCAUCCCCAAAACCUUACACGGCAUUCUGUUAAUCAGAAAUGCAGCAUGAGUACAAGCAUAAUUCCAGAACUGUAAUGGAACUUCAGCCUCGGUUAAAAGUGUGAUAGCAGUCUCUACGAUGUGCCUAUGUUUCCUCUCAGCAAGACCAUUCUGCUGAGGUGUGUAAGGACAUGAUAUGGAAUGUGCAGUUCCUUUGAGUGCCAAAAAAGACUGAAAUCUGUUACUCAUAUAUUCAGAACCACCAUCAGUCUGUAAGCACUUAAUUAUAGAAUUGAACUGAGUUGUAACAAACGCAAAAAACUUAACAAAGACUUGGAAAACCUCAGAUUUAUUGAUAAUAGGGAAGAUCCAUACAAAUCUUGAGAACUCAUCCACAAAACUUACAUAGUAUCUAAACCCUUCUAGAGACUUAACUGGAGCAGGCCCCCAAAUAUCAGAAUGUACUUUUUCAAACAUAGAACUAGCCCUAGUUUCUUUGACAGGAAAGGGUUGUCUACACAUUUUUCCAGAAAGACAUGAAGAACAAACAGAAGGUGAUGAAUCUACACUAACAGGCUGUCCAACAUUUCGAAGCAUAACAUCAAGCACUUCGGCAGAAGGAUGCCCAAGCCUCUUAUGCCAAACAGAAGUCUUUACAGCUUUCCCAAGUAAUGCAACAGCUUUAUUUUGACCAGCAACCAAUCUCCUUGAAAACACAAUCACAGGGAUCUCAUAUAACUCUCCCCUACUCUUGCCGUGGUACAACAUCAUUCCUGUUGCCUUGUCCUGUAUAAAAAAGACACUCUCAUCACAUAUAAACCAGCAAUGAUUAUCUUCACAUAAUUUCUUAACAGAUAAGAGAUUAACAGUAAUGGUUGGAACAUGUAAGACAUUCUUGAAAAACAGUAAAUGUGGUGGAGUUGAAAGUGUUGUAGAACCAAUAUGAGUAACAGCCAAACCUUCCCCAUUACCAAUAGUGAUUUUCUCAUCACCAUUAUACUGCACAGGUUGAUUGAGAUUCCCAAGAUUAGAUGUCAUAUGGUGUGAAGCACCAGUGUCCAACACCCAUGUAUCAGCUGCAGAGAAAUGUUGAACAUUCUGACCAUAUUCUGCAGCAGUCAUGUGAGAUGGAGCGUGAGCAGAAAAUGCAGUAAGAGAAGGAGGUGGAGGUGCCCCCUGAUAGGAAUAGUUAUUCCUAUGUCUACAAUCCAGAGCAUGAUGACCUUUCUUUCCACAAAUUUGACAGAUUAGAACCUGAUAACCAUCAGUCAUAUUCGAACAAGUGGCAGCAGUAUGACCUCUGCGAGAACAAAUCUGACAUUCAACUAUCGGACCUGUUUUGAAGGUAGUAUUACCAUUCCAAGAAGACCUAUUCCCAGUAGAAGAAUUAUUAUAGUUGUUUCCCCAUCUCUGUCUAUUCCCAUUGUAAUAAGGCCUUGAAUUAUUGAAAGACCCAUAACCACUUCUGUUAUAGUUCUGAGAAGUAUUAGACCCCUGAGAAUUAUUAAACCCAUUUCUGUUUUGAAACCUGUUGUUCCCUUGAUAGCCUUAAGUAUCACCAGUGUGUGAACCAGCAUUUGAACUCUCUCCUUGUGAAUACCCGGAAUUCUGAUGACCACCUGUAACUCUAUCUCCUUGAACAUACAUUGUAGCCAUGCCACUGGCCAGAGUAGUGACUCUUGCUUCCAUAGCAGAUUCAACACCAAUCAACUGCGCCCUGAAAUCUUUCAGUGGAAUAGAAGUCUCCCUUGCUAAAACUACAGCCUUGAUAAUAUCAAACUCCGAUGGUAAUCCAGAUAAAGCAGUAAUAACAACAUCAUUAUCAGUAAUCCUCUCCCCUGCAGACACAAGCUGAUCACGAAUGGCUUUCAACCGAAGCAAAUACUUGUCAAUAGAAUCACUGCCUUUUUGAAUUGUAUGAAACUCAAUUUUGAGUUGAUUAAUCCUAGCCCUUGACACGGACGCAUAUCGGUCUUGUAAGUUUACCCAAGCUUCAUGAGACGUUUUACACCCUAUGACAUAUUCCAUAGCAUCAUCCGACAAAGUAGCAAUUAACAGACUCAAUAGUGCCAUAUCUUUCUGAACCCAAGAUUUAUAAGCUGCUGUGAUUUCUGUAGUCACUCCACUCUCAGUGUUAAUCACAAACUUUGGUGGACAAGGAGACUCACCAGUAAAAAAUUCAAAGAAAUCAUACCCUCGUAAAACAGACUGAAACUGAUAAUUCCACUUAACAAAAUUGUCAUCUUGCAACUUCACAGUUAACAUACCAAGCAAACUUUCAAUGCGUACUGAUUUAUCAGACAUCUUUAUCACGUAUUACUGACAAGCAAACAAUCUCAAUCACAAAUUUGUUUAACUCCAAACUACAACAAUGAUCACUACUUCAAGAUAUUUGCACUACUUCUUGGCAUCGGCCUUCUAUAUGUAUAUACUUCAAAAGCUAAAAUUUCAGCAAUAUCACAAAUGAACAACUUCAACCAUAUCACACCACAAAUAUAAAUCUGCUAUUGUCUGGCAUCAGCCUUAACCGAAUCCAACAAGGAACCCAUAUAUGAAAAACCACAAGAAACAACCCAAAUCGCCAUAUAUCUUCACUGAAGUAAAAACACAAACACUUGAUGUGCAAAGAAUAACGAAAGAAACCAACAACCUGAUUGAAAGAUCCUCGACCCAAAAUUCAUCAAGACAGCACCAAUCCUCCAAGAACUCCAACAACGCCUUCAACGAUCAAUCUCCAAGACUUACUCAGCGGAAGAAAAUCCCAAAAAAAAAAUCAACCUUGGCUCGAUACCAUCUUAACAAAGAAGAUUAGAAUUACAGAAGAAAGAAGAAAGAAGGAAUAUAGAGAAUGUAGAAGAAGACCUGGAAAUAAAACUAGAGAGAAUAUGAAAAGUUUUGUAUUGAUAGAAUGGUUAUUUCUUACAAACAUUAGACUGCAAAUGGCCUUUUUAUAUCCCUCUAGUAGUCUAACUACCUUGCUUACUGUGUAAGCUACACAUAACCCUCCUAACUAACUUUUAACAGAAAUAUUGAUGACAUGGCAGAUUAUAUGGCAUUCACUUGAGUCAAUAUCAGUCAACAAAAAUCCGCUUGAUUUCUAAUAUGCUGCAGGACGAUGUGCAGUUGAUAUGCUGUGAACCUUUUCUAACAUGCAAUGAAACUACGUGCAUGCUGCAACCUCUCACUAAUGAAGUAAUCGUGUGCUGCUUCGUUGUAAACCUAUGUAGUCGCAAUUAAGUGCUUAUUGGGAGAGUGAUUUGCUUUGCUUAAUUAGGUGUUCGUGAUAUCAGGAUGUUAACUUUUGCUGGAGUAUGUAUCGUAUUAGGAGAUUCUACCUAAAGUUCGAGAACUUUUUCAACGUUCCGAGAACACUACCGGGUACACUCAAGUAUCAUAAUACAAUUAGUUAAAAAAAAAAAUUUAAGUAUCCAGCCAAUUAUGUUAUUACAUGGUGUGCCAGACCAUGUUCCCGGCACACAAAAAUUUCUUCUAAAGUCCAAUUGAUAAAUAGGUGGACUAUAUAUACGCUUGAGGUUCUACAAUAAGUUCUGAUAAACUAAUGCAAAAUCUUUUAACUUUUUGGUGACAGACAAUACUCAAUAUCACACAUUAAAGAUUCAAAUAAUGUUUAUACAUUAAUUUGUAAUUUCAUUUUUUAACUUUCUGAUGAAGAAGAUGAAGGGUUUCUUCUUCAUAUUGAUUUGUUGUCAGAGAAGAAAGUUUUCUUUAAAUUGAUUUUCUUUAAUAAUGAAUAUCUAUCUUUUAAUUGGUUUUUUAUUCACGCGGCACAAAUUUUGUGGGGCCAACUACAUCCACAUGGACAAAUAACAAAGAAACUAACAUAAAUUGAUACAGAUUUAAGACAUUUAUACAAAAUCGUGAGUCGUCGUAUGAAAUUGAAAAAAUUAAAAAACAUACGAAUUUGAAAUUGGACGAAAACUUGAGGAGAAAAAAAAAUGUAAUCUACCUUUUUUUAACAUUUUUCGGUGGGUUAGAUGAUUUGCAUCACAAAUUUUUGGCCCACUGAACUCCAAAAAUGGCUUUUGAGUUGUAAAAUGAGCAUUCCUAGAUAAUUUAUUCUUUAUUAAACUAAAAUAGAAUUUCAAUUUCACGAAGCUAAUUUUAUUCUUUAUAUCCUCUAGUGGCAAUUCAGUAAUAGGAUCCGGUGGUAUGCCUCUUUAUUUAAAAAUGAGAGGUCUUAGGUUCAAAUCUCGUUGAUGACGAAUUCGAUACCAAAUUAGGUUGCUCAUUGUAUAGGUUAGCCUAACUCUCAUCCCAUUAGUGUAAAAAUAUUAAUGUACUUGACACGCCCCGACCCUGAUAUUCCCCGAAUACCAGGAUAGACACGUGUUGGCCGACACCUGAGGGUGAUGAAAGCCAUUAAUUGAUACAAAAGCUAAGAAUAAGAAAUAAAUAAGGGUUAGAAAUUUAAAAUACAAGGAAUUAAUAAUUUAGGAACGUGCUCAGAGCAUACAACUAAAUCUAAUCACUAAAAAGAAUUAAGAUAAAAUUUAAUGAAUAGAGGAGUGGGUCCUACAUCGAGAGGAUUCGAAAAUGUUGCUGUAGAAGUGCCUUGACGUCGGGAUUAGGUGCCUUGACGCCGGGAUUAGGUGUCUUGAUUCUAAGUCCUGAAUGGGAGCGCAAAACAAAGGUGAGUGGACCAAGUUCAUAUAUAUAUAAUAAUAAAACAGUUAUCAAAGUAAUAACCCCCACAGUUUAAUAAUGAAAACUACUAGCAUAAUAAGUGAUGGAUUUAAUAAAAACCCUAGCAUGCCAAAGUAUCUCAAAAGUCACAUCGCGGAAACGCAUCGCGGAAAUCAAAACGGUAAACGCAUCAUAAAUCGUCUCGUAAACGCGGUGUGCUGCUAGAAAGAUCACCGAAUAAAUAUAACUCCUGGCCCAAUGCCUGCUCCGUGGUCUCUGCGCCCGUAGCCAGAGAUUACCAACUCCCGGCCCAAUACCUGCUCCAUGUCCCUCAGCCCGUAGCUAGGGAUUAUUUCUCCCAGCCUAAAUGCCAACACCAGUUCCUCGCCCCAGGCGGCAUAGUGUCUACUAGGUACGCACAAAUAGUUAUGACACGCCCCGACCCUAAUAUUCCCCGAAUACCAGGAUAGACACGUGCUAGCCGACACCCGAGGGUGACGAAAGCCAUUAAUUGAUACAAAAGCUAAGAAUAAGAAAUAAAUACGGGUUAGAAAUUUGAAAUACAAUGAGUUAAUAGUUUAGGAACGUGCUCAGAGCAUACAACUAAACCUAAUCACUAAAAAGAAUUAAGAUAAAAUUUAAUGAAUAAAGGAGUGGGUCCUACCCCGAGAGGACUCGAAGAUGCUGCUGCGGAAGUGCCUUGACGCCGGGAUUAUGUGCCUUGAUUCUAAGUCUUGAAUGGGGGCGCAAAACAAAGGUGAGUGGACCAAGUUUAUAUAUACAAUAAUAAUAAAACAGUUAUCAAGAUACUAACCCCCAAAGUUUAAUAAUGAAAACUACUAGUAUAAUAAGUGAUGGAUUUAAAUCAAAAUCCUAGCAUGCCAAAAUAUCUCAAAAGUCACAUCGCGGAAACGCAUUGCGGAAAUCAAAACAGUAAACGCAUCAUAAAUCGUCUCGGAAGCGCGGUGUGCUGCUAGAAAGAUCACUGAAUAAAUAUAUCUCCCGGCUCAAUGCCUGCACCUAAGUCUCUGCGCCCGUAGCUAGAGAUAACUACCACCCGGCCCAAUGCCUCUUCAUGUCCCUCAGCCCGUAGCUAGGGAUUAUUUCUCCCGGCCUAAAUGCCAACACCAGAUCCUCGCCCCUGGCUGCAUAGUGUCCACUAGGUACACACAAAAUGUUACGCCUCUCGUAAAUAACCACUUCAUAGCAUAGGUUACCGAUCAUCGUCUACACUAUAAAGAGGGGUUCAAAAACAUGUUCUAGCAUCCUAUCGUCAUUUAUCAGAUAGUCUACCAGUUCAUAGUUUUUAUAGAAAAUACGAUAUAUUAAAAUAUAGCUCAAUAUAGGCCAACAAUUAAUUCCUCACCAAAAACACGAGACGAUAAUCAAUAUAUUAAAUCAUCAGGCUUCACAUAAAUCAGAUCAUAAAUUCGUAGGCAUGCUAAUCAUUUAUGCAAUUAAAUUAUCAAAUCAUGUAAUUUUAGAAGGGGUCCACUCACAGUACUUAGUUAUCAAAAGCUGCGCCACUAGCGAAGACGGAAACAUCACAAUAAUUGCCCCUAAGCACAUAAAGAGUCUAAUAAAUAAAACUAUAUAAUAGCAAUUGAAUUUGGGAAAACGGACAUUGGAAAUGGAUUCAGAACGUCGAAUUACCCUAAGAAAGGUCCCGGACGAAAACCCGAAAAGUCAACCCUAAAGUCAACGUUGAUCGGGGAUCAACGGUCAAUUUAGGUCUAACGGGUUUUAGGCUUGAAAUCCGGAUUAGGGUUUAGGUUAAAUAGGAUUAGGAUUUAUUGGGUUUUGGAAUUCUAAGGCUUUUUGGGUUAAAAGGGUUUAGGAUGAAAAGGGGUGGUUUGGGCUUAAGCCCAAACUCACACACAACACACACACACACUCACACACUACACAAACCCUAAAACACACACACACACACGGCAUGCAUAAAUACAUACACACACACCCACGACACCAAGGCCCUAAGGCCUCACAAAAACUAGCAGGGCUUUAAGCCCCUUUUUAAAUGGAACCGGCCCAAGGCCAGUUUAAAUAAGGCCCAAGGCCUUUGGGGAGGGUUUUAAAAAGAACAAGAAAUUAAAAAAAAAAAGGUUAAACUCAGUUUACUACCCUCAAAUUUCAUGGUUUUCAACAUUUAGUACAUCAAGUUUUUUUCGUCUCAGAGUCAUACCUAAAGUGUUAAUUUUGGGACAGUUUCAUACAUCCGUUAGUCAAUCUGUUAACUCUGCCGUUAAAUGAUGACGUGGCACCCACGUGGACAAUGACUGGGCGCCACGUGUCAUUAAAAAAAAACUAUUAAAAUAAUUAAUUACAUAAAGUAAAAAAAAAAUUCCGCAAAUCCCCUUUGUCUUCCCCACCCCGACCCCCCUCCCUUCUCCCUCUGCACAUCCGCACAUCCGCACAUCCAUCCUUCCCCCUUCUCCCCAGAUCCCCUGAAUUCAUCGGCAUUUCCAGCAAACAGCUGCAAACCAACACACAACACAAGCCAAAAUUAACCAAACCAUCAUUCAAUUUUCCACGCAUAAAAACAAAUCUUUCCACAUUUGCUACAUUGUAAGCCAAUAAAACACAAUCGAAAAGGGAAAAAAUGAACCUCUUCAUCGUCGGGCUUGCAAACAGUCUUAUCGAUUUCCCUGGUGUUCUCAAUCGUCUACGGGAUCUUCUUCACCGGCUGCUACAAAGCGCAAUUAACAACACUAAUUAGCUAAUCAAUCCUUUGUCUUCCCCACCCCGACCCCCCUCUCUUCUCCCUCUGCACUUCCACACCCCCUACCACCUUAUUCCAACGCGCCGCCUCAAAGACCAAGGAUCUAUGGAAGCAGCUUCUUCCACUCCUUCCCUGUCCUCCCAUUUACACCUGCUCCAAUUUCCCAUUUCAAUAACCCACAAAAAUCAUAAAAACACACCCACAAAACUUAUAAAAACAGAGAAACAGAGAAAUAGAGAAAGAGAGAGACCGCUGGGAUUGACGACGAAAACGAGGUCGCGAUGGGGAGCGGAGGAAGACCCAUUUUUCAGAAUGGAGCGGUCAGCGCACAGAUCAGGACCUUUGGGGAGCUCGGCUCUCACAGCCCAUGGUGUCGCCAUUGAAACUUUCACUCUUCUCACUGCCCAUGGUUUCGGUUUUGGUUCUGUCUAUGGAGGGGAUGGAGAAGACGAAGGGGGUGAAGGGAAUGGAGAAGACGAAGGGGGUGGAGGGGUGGAGAGGUGGAACCGUGGAGGGUCUUCCAGAAGGAAAAAAGGGGUUCUAGUGGGGAAGACGAAAGGGGAAGGAAAAAAGGGGGUUUUGGUUUUUUUAUGUUUUUUUACAUUAUUUAAUUAAAAUUUUAAUUUUUUUAAUGACACGUGGCGCCCAGUCAUUGUCCACAUGGGCGCCACGUCAUCAUUUAACGGCAGAGUUAACAGUUUGACUAACGGACAUAUGAGACUGUCCAAAAAUUAACACUUUAGGUAUGACUCUGGGACGAAAAAAACUUGAUGUACUAAAUGUUGAAAACCACGAAACUUGAGGGUAGUAAACUGAGUUUAACCCAAAAAAAAGAACUAAAGGGCUGGGGGGUUUUAACGGGCUUAAGGCCCAAGGGGAAAGGAAAAGGAAGGCCGGUGGCCUGGUUUUGCCGAGACAGAGAAGGCCGAAAAUUCGGUCGGAAAACCACCUAACUUUAAACGGCUAUAACUUUGUCACUACACAACGAAAUCAAGCAAGACAAAAACGAAAGUUGUAGCCCUCGAAGAGACGAAGAGAAUGAUACCUCACAUGACGUCUAACUCGCCAUGGUUUGGCCGGAAAAUUCCUCGAAAGCCGUCGGACUCGCCGGAAACUGGGUAAGAUUCAAAUGAGUAUAACUUCUUCAAUACUCAACGAAAUUAAGUGAAACAAAAAAGGAAAGUUGUACUACUCGACGAGACGAAGAGAUUGAUACCUUGCACGCCGGCCAACUCGCCGUGGUUUGGCCGGAAAUGGCCUCGAAAGUCGUCGGAGUCGUUGGGGGGAACUUGGGUGUUCUCUGGGUGUCCCGAAGCUUCGCCGAGACAGGGGAGAGAGAAGAAAGUUCCAGAGAUGAUGGUGGUGUGGAAGUGAGGGUGUGUGGUUUUGGUUCACGGGGAGAAGGAGGGAGUGCUGAGAAAGAGCACGGAAGAGAUAGAGAAAAGAAGAGAGAGAGAGAGAGACUGGAAAAACACAAGAAAAAUAAAACAAGGUGGGCCCCACAAGCUCACCAAUUAAGGCUUUAAAACAAUUUUUAAAUAAAAUGGGGUUGGGGUGUUUCAAGUUACGCCUCUCAUAAAUAACCACUUCAUAGUAUAAAGUCAUCCAUCGUCUAUACUAUAAGAGGGGUUUCCAAAACAUGUUCUAGCAUCCUAUCGUUAUCCAUCGAAUAGUCUACCAGUUCAUGAUUUUUAUAGAAAAUACGAUAUAUUAAAAUAUAGUUCAAUAUAGGUAAACAAUUAAUUCCUCACCAAAACACAAGACGCUAAUCAAUAUCUUAAAUCAUUAGGCUUCACAUAAAUCAAAUCAUAAAUUCGUAGGCAUGCUAAUCAUUUAUGCAAUUACUAUAAAAUCAUGUAAUUUUAGAAAUUGUCCACUCACAAAUAUUCCUUAGCAGAAGAAUCGCGCGAAUAAGGAUAUAGAAUUUCUCCACUAGCAACUUUACCUAAGCACAAAAAUAUAAUUAAUACAUAAAAUGAUUUUCUAAAAGAUUGGGCUUGAACUAAAUUAAAUAAGGGAAAUUGGGUUGGAUGGGUUUAGGGUUAAAAGGCCAUUAGGGUGUCAAUUGGGGUUUGGGUUUUAACCCAACCCAUAUGCACACACACGGGCACAAGGCCCUAAGGCCUCACUAACAGAAAACAGGGCUUUAAGCCCUUGAUUUAAACCGGCCCAAGGCCACUAAAAACUAUAACUAAAAAUAAAAACUAAAUGGGUUAGGGUACUGGGCUAAGGCAAAACGGGCUUGGGGCCCGAGGGAAAGGGGAGAGGCCAAACGGCCUGGUGUCAAGGAAGAAGAAGGCCGGAGCUGCUACAGCUCCGGUCACCUGAAAACUAAGGUUUCAAGCUCCGAUCUAGGUACAACCAUGAAGAACAAGAAGAGAGAAAGAGGUUGCUACCUUCCAAACACCGUAACUCGGUCGAAGGUAACCGGAAAAAGCUCCCAAGGUCCACUGUUCGCCGGAAAAUGGGUGUGCUCACCCACAACGGUUCCGAAGCAAAAACCUACGUAAAAAUGUAAGGUUCAAGCUUCUAAAUUACAACCAAACAACAAUCUAACAACGAGAAGGAAAGAUUCUUCUAACAACGAGAAGGAAAGAUUCGAAACUUACUCCAACGAAAAAGGGAAGGAAAGCCCACCGGAGCUUUGCUCCGUGUCGUCAAUCUCGCGGGCAGAGGGGUCCUGGUUCGUGGAGAGUCUCUCCUAGUGGUGCUAAGGUCCUCGAGAGUCCAAGGAGAGAGAGAGAGAGACGAGAGUUUGAGGGAGAGAGGGAGAGAGGAAGAAAGAGAUGCACGGGAGAGUUGAGAGGGCUACGGGAGGGAGAGAUGAAGAAGAAGGAGGUCACGGAGUGGGGGUCAAAAAGAGAGAAAAAGAGAGGAGGUUGAUGAUUGACACGUGGCAAUGAAGUGGAAAUAACAAAUUUUCCAAUUAUUUUGAGGGUUUUUUAACAUACUAAUUAAAAAAAUUAAAAACAAAAACCCUCCAGCAAGGUUAAUUAGCAAAAAUUAAAUAAAAAACCCUCCGGCAAAGUUUGUCACAAAAAAAGCAGAUAACCCUCCACCAAGUUGUCUAUAAAAUGAAAAAAAAAAAAAAAAAAAAAACCUCCAGCGAGGUUAAUUAGCAAAAAUUAAAGAAAAAACCCUCCGGCAAGGUUUGUCACAAAAAAAAACAUAUAACCCUCCACCAAGUUGUCUCUUGAAAAAAAAAAAAAAAAAAAAAAAAAAAACCCUUCCAGCAAGUUGUAAUCCUAUAAAAUCGAGGGGAAGCCUCACUCAUAAUUCAUUGAGCUGAGAGUUUAUUCAAAUCAUUCAUCCUAAGCAUUUCCUUUUUCUUUCAAAUGGCGUCCAACUCUUCCAGCUCUUCCAACGUUUCCAACUUUCUUCCGAUUAAACUUGACCCUACCAAUUACCCUCUCUGGCAAGCCCAGAUGCUUACCUUGCUUCGUAGCAGGAAUCUCGUCUCCUUUGUUGAUGGCACUAGCAAAUGUCCUCCUGCCUUUCUCAAAGAUGAUGAGGGCAUUUUUACUGAUACUGUGAAUCCGGAGUUUGAAGCAUGGAUUCAACAAGAUAAUAUGGUUUUGUCCUGGAUCAAGAGCUCUGUUCAUCCCACUGUGUUGGAUGCCGUAAUCUGGAAAACCAGUUCUCAUUCUGCGUGGACCUGUCUGCGCGAAAGCUAUGAUUUGCAGCCCACUGGCCGUCUUCUUCAACUUCGCAGUGAGCUGAUGAACACCCACCGUGGCGACUCCUCCAUUUCUGAGUUUCUCAGUCGUGUCAGUUCCCUUGCUGACGGCCUCUCCUUAUCUGGUGCUCCUGUUUCUGACUCAGACAUUGCUGCCAUUGUUCUCAACAAUGUUGGCCCUGCAUGUGAAAGCACCGUGGCUUCUGCUCAGGAUCGUGAUGGGGCCAUAUCUCACAGUGCUUCAGAGGCCCUUCUGCUCACUGCUGAGCGGAAACAAAGGAUGCAUACUGUCUUCUCUGCUGAUACUAGACCCACUGCUCCCACUGCUGCUCGUGGCCGUCGUCCUGGCACCUUACGCGGUCGUGGCAAAGGCUAUAGAGGUAUUCGUGUUGUUAUGAGUACUCUGUUUUCAAUCCUCUUUUUUUCUUCUUUUUUGUUUUGGUUUGGCCUCAUUUUCAUCUUUGUUAUAGGCAUAAGUGCUAGUUCAGGAAUGCCUCACUUUCCACCACACAAGUGGCACUCGAAGGAAUCGGAGAGGCCAUUGCCGACUUCAGAGCUACUUGCUCAACGAUUCAAGAAAAACUUAUAUGUCAAGCCAUAUAACAAGUCUAAUGUGGAUUGGACUGGAAGAAUAGCUUAUGCAGACCAUUCUACAUAUAGAUGGUGCGCUGUUGCUUUGCCUGACGAGAACCAAUUUCCACCUUCUGUCAAUCUUAAGCCCAUUUGUUUGGAGUCCACUGAGCCGAAGGUUGAAGAAAAUCGUCUAGCUUUAAUCAACACUAGUCUAGAUGAAGGUUAGUACUCUAACAUUUCUUUUAAUGCGUUUAUCUUUGUAUGUUGUUACUUGGGUAGUGUGGAUAUGUUUGGUUUUGUUGUUCAUGGUUGAUGCGUGACAGAAGGCGGUGAGUUGGAAUGGAAUUGGCUAAGGAGCCCUGCGGUAUCUAUAGCAGAAAAUGUGCUGGAAGACUUGAUUUCUUCUUUUAAACACAUGAGGAAUGAAAUGAAGUGCGGAAAGCCCACUUUGAUUGCUAGAGUGGGGAAAGUACUUUUUCGUAGGUGAGAUUUCUUCCUUAUCUGAGUCAUUUAGUUGAUUGUUUCAUGCGAUUAUCCUUUUUACCUUUAUGUUGUUCUUUUAUCCGCCUCGGAAUACUGGUUGAAGUAGAACAAAAUAAUAGUCGAUAAUAUGAUAGAAGGUUACAUUUGGCAUUUUAGUUUAGAAGGUAGGAUGCCAAGUUGGACAGUGAAGCAGGAUUCUAUAACUCUGCCCUUGAUUUUCGAUACUUGAUACAAUAUUAUAUUGUUAUCGAUGCUUAAUUACUGUCAAUCAUCUCAUACUUCAUAUCAGUUUUGUACAAGGACAGUGGUAUAACAAUUUUUGUUAAAAUCUUUGAAUCAGGAGCCCUUUAGUUAACAUGGAAGACAUCAGAACAAAUUUGUGUACUGAAAUCUUGAAACAGUGGAGACGAUCAUUGUACACAAACAUUCCUGUUUCAUAUAAGGAAAGGAUUGUGAACGAAGUUGUCCCGAAAAUUGGAGUUGAUUUCGAAGGGGAGAAAGAUACAUACCAAGUAAAGGUAUUUCUUUUAGACACAUCAACUUACUGAGUUCUGAGUUCAUGCUUUCUACAAUUCUGACUUUUGCUAUUGACUCACUAAUCUAUGUCCUUCUUGUAUAGUUGUCUGAUUCCACCAGACCAGAUGCAACUCUCUCCUGCAAAUGCCGUGUAAUGAAAGAACAUGGAAAGUUACAACCCUACAAGGCAAGUUUUCGAAUUCCUGCGAACUAAAUUGGAUGAAAUGGUAAAUGGUACAUGAUGCAUCAGUUCCAUGAUGGAGUUGUCAUGAUACUGAUUAGAUAUAAUCUACUGUUCACAUUUCCAAUUUGUGGAAUAAUGUGCGAGCAGCAUUUCCACAUUGUUAAUACCUUAAUAUAUCCGUAACUCUUCCUCUUAAGUUUUCCUGUUGCUUGGCGUAGAGAUUGUUUACUAAGACUUACAUUGCAUUGCCAACUUUGUUUUAGAUUGAACUGAAUCAACUGCGUAACAUGGUCGUGGAUAUUUCAUGCACUACCAAAAAUCUGGACCUGAGACUGAUGCUAUGCACGAAGAGACUCGUCACAGAUCUGACUGUAAGCUGCUUCACCCAGUACCCUUCUUGUUUCAGCAAAGCAAUUAGUUAUAACCUAUUUAUCAUGGAGCCACAAUCAAAACAAACAACAGAAUAUUUUCGGUAAAUGUAACUGGACGAUGAGGUUUAAACCAUAUUGGAUGCAUUCCUGAACUUAUGCAGCUUGAAAUGAGGUUUUGUGAUCAUAUGAAUCGUUGCUAUUUCAGGACGAUGAGAUGCAAAGCAUUUGGGAUCUGAUUAAUUCCGCGAUUCUAGAUCCAGAUGUGAAGGGCGGGUUGAGAUGGCCUUCGGGAAAGGAUUCUUCCGGAGAUAAAUACAAAGUUGAUGGGGUUUGGCACUUGAUAGCUAAUACGUAUAAAAAUUCAUCGUUCAGACUGAAAGUCAGACAUGCGGAUCGAUUUGAUUUUAGAACCCUAUCUGGGGAAGCUACUUGGGAGACAAGUCUGAUGUUGAAAAAGGUCCUGUCAAAGUUGGAGGUAAACGCUGCCUAUUCUCUGGGACAACUUCUUUUACUUCAUUUGCUGAAAUAAAAGAUUUAUUUGAGAAGGUUUAUCGUGUGCUGAAAUCUCCUUUUCUCCAAUUUUCAGGAAGAGAAUGCCGAAGCCAGCUCGGUUUCUGAGAUACUGAAGGAAGACAUGCAUCUGAUAUGGGACAACUUCUUGAGCUGUGAACGUUUCCUGACAUGAAAAUGCAUGUUGUAAAUCAGGGAUUUGCUUUGUUUAAUUAGGUGUUUGUGAUUUCAGGAUGUUAAACCUUUGUAGUCGUAGUUAAGUGCUUAUUGGGAGAGUGAUUUGCUUGCUUAAUCUAGGUGUUUGCGAUAUGAGGAUGUUAACUUUUGCUUGAGUAUGUAUUAUUUUAGGAGGUUCUACCCAAAGUACAAUUGAUAAUUGGUGGAGUGUCUAUUUACUCUUGAGGUUCUACAAUACCUUCGACGAAGCUAUUGCAAGGUCUUUUAGUUUUUUAACGACGGACAACAUUCAGCAUCACACGUUAAAGAUCUAAAUGUUUAUACAUUAAGUUGUCCUUUGGUUUUUUUAACUUUCUGAUGGCGACGAUGAAGGGUUUUUUUUCUUCAUAUUGAUUUGUUGUCAUAGCAUAAGAGUUUUCUUCAAAUUGAUUUUUUUUAAUAAUGAAUAUCCUUUUUUCAAUUGGUUUUUUUAUUCAAGUGGCACAAAUUAUUCGAAAACUUGCCUUUUUUUCAAUUAAUUUAAUUUCGAAUCGGAUGAAUUGAAGAAAAUUAACGAACAUAUGAAACACCACAACCCCAUUUUAUUUAAAAAUUGUUUUAAAGUCUUAAUUGGUGAGUCAAGGGGGACCCACCCCUGAUUUCUGUCCCCAGCCUCCCAUCUCUCUCUUCCUUCUUCUUCGUCUCUCUCCCCCGUAACUCUCCCUUAGCUCUCUCCCUCUCAGCUCUCCCGUACCUCUCUCCCUCAACCUCUCGCAUCUCUCUCUUCCCCCGGACUCACUAGGACCGAGUCACCAUCGAACAGAGGCUCGCAACGAACCCCGGACCCUGCCCUGCGAGUUCGACGGCACGGAGUAAGCUCCGGCGAGCACCGCCCAUUUCGAGGCCAUUUCCGGCCAAACAAAGCGAGUUGGCCGGCGUGUAAGGUAUCAAUCUCUUCGUCUCCUUGGGUACUACAACUUUCCUUUUUGUUUCACUCAAUUUCGUUGAGUAUUGAAGAAGUUAUACUCAUUUGAAUCUUACCCAGUUUCCGGCGAUUCCGACGGCUUUCGAGGCAUUUUCCGGCCAAAACACGGCGAUUUAGACGUCGUGUGAGGUACCAUUAUCUUCGUCUCUUCAAGGGCUACAACUUUUGUUUUUUUUCUCGCUUGAUUUCGUUAAGUAUUGACAAAGUUAUGGCCGUUUAAAGCGAGUGUGGUUUUCCGGCCGAUUUCCGGCUUUCUCUCCCAUUGGGUCCGGCGACCCACCAAAACCCAAGGCUUUGGGCCUUCCUUGCCGAGCCCAGCCCUUUUGUGAGGCCUUAGGGCCAGGCUUUAUGUGUGUGUAUUAGGUGUGUGUGUGUGUUAGUUGUUUGGGUUUGGGCUUAAGCCCAAACCACCCAUUUUCACCCUAAACCCUUUUAACCUUAGAACCCUAAAAUCAAAACCCAAUAAAUCCUAAUCCUAUUUAACCUAAACCCUAAUCCGGAUUUCAAGCCUAAAACCCGUUAGACCUAAUUUGAUCGUUGACCUCCGGUCAACAUUGACUUUAAAGUUGACUUUUCGGGUUUUCGUCCGGGACCCUUCUUAGGGUAAUUCGACGUUCUGAAUCCGUUUCCAAUGUCCGUUUUCCCAAAUUCAAUUGCUAUUAUAUAGUUUUAUUUAUUGGACUCUUUAAUGUGCUUAGGGGCAAUUAUUGUGACGUUUCCGUCUUUGCUAGUGGCGCAGCUUUUGGCAACUAAGUACUGUGAGUGGACCCCUUCUAAAAUUACAUGAUUUCAUAGUUUAAUUGCAUAAUUGAUUAGCAUGCCUACAAAUUUAUGAUCUGAUUUAUGUGGAGCUUGUUGUUUUAAUAUAUUGAUUAUCGUCUCGUGUUUUUGGUGAGGAAUUAAUUGUUGGCCUAUUUUGAGCUAUAUUUUAAUAUAUCGUAUUUUCUAUAAAAACCAUGAACUGGUAGACUAUCUGACAGAUGACGAUAGGAUGCUAGAACAUGUUUUGAACCCCUCUUUAUAGUGUAGACGAUGAUCGGUAACCUACGCUAUGAAGUGGUAUUUACAAGAGGCGUAACAUUUUGUGCGUACCUAGUGGACACUAUGCCGCCUGGGGCGAGGAUCUGGUGUUGGCAUUUAGGCCGGGAGAAAUAAUCCCUAGCUACGGGCUGAGGGACAUGAAGAGGCAUUGGGCCGGGUGGUAGUUAUCUCUGGCUACGGGACGAUUUAUGAUGCGUUUACUGUUUUGAUUUCCGCGAUGUUAUUCCGCGAUAUGGCUUUUUGAGAUACUUUGGCAUGCUAGGAUUUUUAUUAAAUCAAUCACUUAUUAUGCUAGUAGUUUUCAUUUAUAUAAACUUUGGGGGUUAGUAUCUUGAUAACUGUUUUAUUAUUAUUGUAUUUAUAAACUUGGUCCACUCACCUUUGUUUUGUGCCCCCAUUCAGGACUUAGAAUCAAGGCACCUAAUCCCAGCGUCAAGAUACUUCCGCAGCAGCAUCUUCGGAUCCUCUCGAAUGUAGGACUCACUCCUUUAUUCAUUAAAUUUUAUCCUAAUUCUUCGUAGUGAUUAGGUUUAGUUGUAUGCUCUGAGCACGUUCCUAAACUGUUAACUCAUUGUAUUUCAAAUUUCUAACCUUUAUUUAUUUCUUAUUCUUAGCUUUUGUAUCAAUUAAUGGCUUUUGUCACCCCCGGGUGUCGGCCAGCACGUGUCGGUCCUGGUAUUCGGGGAAUAUCAGGGUCGGGGCGUGUCAACAUAAAUUAUCAAGGAGUGUGUGGAUAGCAUACCCCUUUACAUAUCUUAUUGAAGAUGCUCUAAAAAUUAAAUUAAAAUAGAAUUUCAUUUUCAUAAAGCUAAAAUAAAAAAAAUAAAAAACCUUCCAGCGAGGUUAAUAAGCACAAAUUAAAGAAAAAACCCUCCGGCAAGGUUUUCCACAAAAAAGACAUAUGACCCUCCACCAAGUUGUCUCUAAAAGGAAAAGGAAAAGCAAAAAAGUAUCUAAAAGGCAAAGAAAAAAACCCCUCCAGCAAGUUGUAUGAGAAAAAGAAAAAUAAAAACCCCAUCCGAUAUAACGACGGGAAGCCUUACUCGUAAUUCAUUGAGCUGAGUAUAUUCAAAGCAUUUUCAUCCUAAGCAUUUCCUUUUUCUUUCAUAUGGCGUCUAACUCUCCAGCUCUUCCAACGUUUCCAACUUUCUUACGAUUAAACUUGACCCUACCAAUUACCCUCUCUGGCAAGCCCAGAUGCUUCCCUUGCUUCGUAGCAGGAAUCUCGUCUCCUUUGUUGAUGGCACUAGCAAAUGUCCUCCUGCCUUUCUCAAAGAUGAUGAGGGCAAACUUACUCUGAAUCCGGAGUUUAAAGCAUGGGUUCAACAAGAUAUUAUGGUCAUGUCCUGGAUCAAGAGCUCUGUUCAUCCCACUGUGUUGGCUGCCCUAAUCGGGAAAACCAGUUCUCAUUCUGCAUGGACCUGUCUGCGCGAACGCUAUGAUUUGCAGCCCACUGCUCAGGGUCGUGAUGAAGCCAUAUCUCACAGUGCUUCAGAGGCCCUUCUGCUCACUGAUGAGCUGAAACAAAGGAUGCAUACUGUCUUCCCUUCUGAUACUAGACCCACUGCUC
rnacentral:lncRNA from 1 species